AUCACCUUUGCAGUACCUGCGCCACAUGUUCCUGUAUGCCGACUCCAGCCCAAGGGUAAACUUUGGUCCAUCACAGACAGGCGACCUGGACAUGAGGUCUCGGAGACUCAUCCUCAAAUUUGAAAGUGCUGUUAUGUCAGAGGCCAACUGCACAGCCAACUGAACAUACUCUUCCUCAUUUUUAGCAAUGAGGUUCCCCAAUCCUGUAUUUGCAGUAAGACAGGUGUAUCAGAAGACAAUUUCUAUAGAGACAGGAAAAACAGAUACAUAAAACAACAAUCUAAGAUAUUGGCCACAGAUAAAGAAUUUACUGAGGGAAAAAAAUUGUUGUCCCAUUAUUGUAAACAGUUGGAGGGUAUAAACAUAGCUUCUUCAAGCCCUUUCUCCAAGCUCUUGGAAAGACUCUCAAAUUCCCUGGAGCUUAUGUCACAUAUCCUCACUUUCAGUUUUAAUAUCACACUUUUCCUUGCUUAAUUUAUAUAUUUAUCGGGAUAAAUAAAGGCAGGUAAAGCAAGUAAUGGUAUUUGGUCAAACGAACAUGGCAUGCCAGAUACACAAAUCAAACAGGUAGAACAGAAAAUACUUACCCACUUUGCUGAGAAUACUAACACCAACAUUGUGUGCAUGUACUGAACCACCCAUAGUAACACACGGAACGCCCAUAUAUAAAGAUUCACAUGUCGUAGUUGUUCCGGCAUAAGGAAAAGUAUCCAAACUACACAGAGAGAAGAAAACACAGGUUAGAUCUUAGAUCCUUGAAACCAGAACCAACAGAGAACAAGAAAACUGAAGUCCUCACUAAACUAUGACCGGCAUAAUUAAAUAAAGGAAGACUAUCCCAUGCACAUCUCAUGUUCUCAUAUGAUCCUCUAAGUUCUACCCAAGUUUUAAAUGAAAGCCCCAUUUUGCAAAUAAUAACUGUUAAACAAAAUGAUCGUUAAAAUAGCCUCCCUACCUCUGCAAUCAUGGAGAGAUAGAAAUGACAACCAUGGAGCAAAGCAAAAUGCAAGUAAUUUCCAAUAACGCACCUUCGACAACGCAAUGUUGCAAGAAUUGCAUUAGAGAUCUGACACUUUCUUAUACAGACUCUAAUUCGAAAAUUGAAUGCAAGAGGAAGGAAUUGUGUUUUAGUGCAGGAACCAACUAUAAAUUACUUCAGUAACCUAUAAGUAACCCUUCAGAGUAACCUGUAAAACAAUAUAUCUCUGUCUGCAUAUUCACCAACCAACAGUGAUGUAAUUUAAGGAUGAAAAUUAUGAAACAACCACUGAACAGAAAUAUCCCGAGUACAUGUUACCGCUCAACCACUUUAAGCAAUAAGGUGUUUACUGUCAAUACUAGUACCUAUAAUUUUUCAGAAGAGCUGUUCCAAUAGGCAUUUAAAAUCUUAAGGUUCACCAAGUUACAGCCAAACCCAAGUUCAUAUAUAGGAAAAAAAAAACUUUACUUUACUGAAUACGAAAUGUAACCUAAUGUAAGAAAAAAAAAACAUUAUACCUAAUGUCCAUGAGAGAAUACGCUUGCAUAUGAUCGUAAUUGAGUAAAAUUAGAGGCAGAAGAUCAACACGUAGAGGUUCCAACCCCAGCUGCUCCAAUGUUGAAAGAAAUCUCUCUCUCACACUAUCGCAACUAAAGGGCUUACAUUUUACUACAAGGCGAGAGUUCGGAAUUGCUGAGAGAAUUCUUGCCCAAACUUGCAGCACUUUUGGUGUGAUCUGAUAAGAGACAAGAAAGAUAAGAGUGAGUAAAAGCAUUAUAUGAUAACUAGCCUGGAUGCUUAUGCUUUUAUACAAAUACUUGAUCACAAGAAAAGAGUAGCCAAAAUCUAACUUAUUCAAUACCUUCGCGAGAUUAUUGAAGCUCCCAAAUGUAAUAAAGCCAUUGGAGAGAGCUGGAGUAGGGGAAACAGGCCCUGCCUCAGGGGAAGGUGUAUAACAAAGGAAGCAUUCUGGUAAUCGAACCAGCUCCUCAACAUGCCUACAUUUUUAAUAAAAGGAAUAUAUUAUAAACAGAUAAUUUACACAAAAAUUUAGCACUAUAGCAGAAAACUCAUGCUUGAAUGCUACAGGGAGAAAAAUAAAAAAAAGGUAAAAAAGAGUAAGGAUAAUAGUAGGAGACAUACUUCUGCUCUGAAUCAGUAGAAUCUGCCAGUGAAUCUGUUAUUCUAUAAUCAAUCGCUGGCAAACCAGUUGUGUUUGGGUAACCAAUCCAAGUAACCUGUAAAUCCAGCAAUGACAGGUUAUCUACCUUAAGAAAACAACCCUGUACUUACAAAAAAAUGCAACAAUUAAUGAAUAAUGAGUGACGCACACGGUAACUGAAAUGCACAACUUUGAUAUGAGGCCCCUCCGGCUUCCAAACUCAACAGUAAAGUAAUGUAUGAUGCUAUCAGUUGCACAAAAUAUACAUAUAAUUAAAUCUGGCGAGAUGCAGCUGCAAUUUCAGGAUAAACAUGCCCUUCAACGUUACUUGAUUUAAAGAAUUGGCAACGCCAACACAAAAUUAACAUUUGCAGACUAACAUUCCUUAUGACAAUAAAGUUUGAUUCAUAUUUUACAUAUUUCUACAGGAUGCACAUCACAAGAGAUACAAAUCAAACAAAGCAAGAUCAGAACCCACUUCAGCAUACCUGAACAGGUGCAGGCCGGCAUGCCAUUGUUCCCAACUUAUUGUUAGCAGUAUGGCCAGUAAGUUCCACCAAUAUAUCCACCUUAUCUUCCUUAAUAAUGCUUGCAACUUUUUUUUCAUCAAUCCCAUAAAUAUCUCUCCAGAUCCCACCCUUUUUCAAGACUCUCUCCCUAAACCUGAUAGUCUUGGCAUCUGCCUGUGACAAUGUAAGGAAAUCAGUACUGGAUGAAGAGAUUCCAAUAGCAUUUGCUAUACAGGCAUUAAGUACUUCAAAAACAACAUUGAAAUAACUCAAAAGGCAUUGAUUGCUAUUUCCAAUCAAUGGUGACACAGGAGACAGUAUAAUAUCUGUCAGAUAUUGCAAAAAAUUUAAGUAUGAAUAGAAGGCAUACAGGGGGAGACAAUUCGAGAGAUGAAAAUUUUCCGGUUAAAUAUAUCGCUAUAAAAUAAAUGAUAAAGUUCAACUUGAAAGCCCAAAAAUAAUGUUCGCAACAUGUUGAAAUGAGAAAAAUCAAAAGCAACUUUAAAGAAAGCAGGACAAAAAACGACAGCUGAAAUUAUAGAAAUGAAAAAAAUCACUACCUUCACAACUGCAGAAUAAACAACCACUUUGUACUUUGCAUAUUCAUGGUGGGCAAGGGGAGCUUCUAUAAAAUAUGAUACAGAGUGAGUAAAAUAAUCAGGAGAUACAUAUCCAAUCACCAAGGGUCGCUCCGGAUCUUUUAUAUUGUCCCACGACGUGUACUGUGAGAAUAGCCUCAUAAAGCGUCUACCCCAGUCCCUGCAUAUAUUAAGCUGCAUCAGCAAAGCUAGAAUUCCUCAUUUUCCAGUGCAAAAUGCUAAUGGAAAACAGAACAUAAAAAUAACUUAAUAUCAAGGCAAUAGAAAAACUACAUACUGUCAUUGUAUAAGAUACUAACAUUUAAGGUUUUAUGAUUAGAUUAGAGUAUACCUUAUUGAAAUAAAACUUAGGCUAUCCUUUCUCCUAUAACAUAACUCACAAUAUGCUAAUAGCACAUCAUUACAUUCACUCAAUAACGAGAAGGAAAAGCAAUCAUGCAAAACUAAAGAGGGAUCAGUUGAAACCUGUGAGCAACAAAAAGUUUAUCAUCAUGCCCUUCAUGAAUGUAGUUCAUUGCAAGCAAUCGGUUCUGCAACAAAUUGUUCAGCCAAAAUCAGAAACAAAGCUUUUUAAAGUGUUAAAAAGACACAAUCUACUUGUUUACAACAAACAUAAAACAUAGAUACAGAUUUAAAUCCACAGAGCUCACUAUGAUGGAGAGAUUGAGAGAGACAGACAGAGGGAGAUCUUGAUUGAGCUAAUGCACUUAGAUGUUUUGUUUGUAAACAAUCUGAAAAGCGUCUUGACACUGUCACUCAAGCCACUGUGUGACUGCUAAAUACUUGUGUGCCAGAGAAAGAUUCGAAAUCCAUACUUUUUAAAAAAAAAAUGAGUACCCCUUGCACAAAUACAAUAACAUGCAUGCACAUCUGACAAGUACCACUAAUGCACUAAAGUAAAAGAUUUCCGUUUCAGUUAGAUGUAGCAUUCACAAAACAUUGCAAUGGUAUUUCCAUGUGCAUAUAAAAAAAAUAACAUUCAUGGAAGCAUAAACAAAUAUAUAUAGUGGCUCAUGGGAGUAAAUCUCAUGAAAGCCAAGAGGCAAAAUACCUGGCCUGCAUUUCGGGAAUCAGGAUCUAUUUUAAGGCAUUGCUCAUAUGCAUCAAUAGCCAUAGUGAUAUUGCCAGCAUCUCUGUAGAGAACUCCUGUAAUAUAAAAAUAUAUAAAUAAAUAAAUAUAAGGACAAAAGAGCCAGCUUUACAACAAAUUCAGAAAAUAAAAUACAAGAAAAUGGAAGGGUUCCCGCCACAAUAAAAAGUGUUAUAAUUCAGAAAACUGAUGAUAUAAGUAAAAAAUUCGCUGUACCAAUAUUUAUGACAUAUCAUUCUCAAAUCUGUAUAAUAUCAUGUACACUACCUUUCCCAGGUUCCCUAAAUUAGGUCAGUAGGAAAGAGUGUUUAAAAGGUGUUUGGCAUUAACUCUUGCAUACCAGACCUUUUGUGCUCUAUAGAAGAAAAUAAUCUGCUUCUGGCGACUUCAAUUUCUAUUAAAGGUACCCUGAAUUCCCAUCCACCCCUUUCAACCCGAAUCCCAAAGAAUACAAUGAUCGUUACCAGCAACAAGAAAAUAUUAAGGAAAGGAGAGAAAAACAGGACAUUAAAGACUGCAGGGAAUCCAAAAACAAUUUUGCAAUAUUCCUUCAAUUUAUUUAGGCCUAUCUUAUUAAAAACAGGCAAGCGCAGGCCUCUAUAUUUUGUAGAUGGCUUGAGAUUGAUCAAAUCUCACUCCCCUCAGAGUGAAAUGAUUCUAUCAGGAUCGUAACAAGCUAUAUGUCAAACGAAAUUAAAUAACAAUUUAGGUGCUUCCUGCUAAUAACAAUCCCAUCAUGAUACAAGAUAGUCAUGGGUUCAAACCUCACUAACAUNNNNNNNNNNNNNNNNNNNNNNNNNNNNNNNNNNNNNNNNNNNNNNNNNNNNNNNNNNNNNNNNNNNNNNNNNNNNNNNNNNNNNNNNNNNNNNNNNNNNNNNNNAGAGAGAGAGAGAGAGAGAGAGAGAGAGAGAGAGAGACCUAAGUUGUUAUAUGCUUCCGCAUAUGUGGGAUUUGCAAUUAUAGCUUUCUCAAUCAUGCUUGCAGCACCAUCCAUCUUACCCUGCCAAUAAUGAAGAAGGAAGUUGGUGACUCAAAUAUGAACAUUCAAGUUCCGGCACCUAGAAGGGCUUGAAAGGAAACCUGAACAGUGUAGACAACUCCAAGAUUGUUCAAUGACUGUGAGAAAUUUGGUUUGAUUGACAACGCCAACUGCAAAUUUGUAAUAAAUAAAACGAUAAGAAAAAAGAUGGUAAUGCCAAAGCCAAAGUCCUAGAGAGGAAAACAAAAUUAAAAUUCUGUACAAGUGCCAAACAUUGCCUGAUAACACUCUACUGCUUUAUCAAGGUUGUCUCGGUCUUUGUAUAUUACUCCCAAAUUAUUGCAUGCCUCUGCACAAUGGGGAUUGAAGUGGAAAGCGAGUUCAUAGAAUACAAUUGCCUGCACAGGUAGAAUUUGAUUGCAAACACCGUAUCAAAUUGACACAACCAAUCAAGAAAAAAUCCAGUUGAGAGAGAUUUCAGCUGCAAUAAAAACACUUACCAUGUCAAACUUAAGCAUUUCACCAUAAGCAACCCCAAGAUUGUACAUUGCGUCAGCAUAAUGCCAGUUAUAAUACAAAGCCUUCUUGUAAUAUGCUAUGCCUUGAUCGAUAUCUCCCUCCAACUUAACCUAUAUGCACAUGUUACUGAACCAAAAUCAGGAAAAAGAUUGAUAAUUUACUCAAACUGAGUAAAAAGGAAAAGGAAUAUGGGACUAUGUAGUAGAUGAGUCAACAUAUGUUUCCAUCACACAACACGCAAGUGUCAAAUUUGCAAAUGCACCUACACCACAACUUUCCUCAUGACACACUUCUCUAGUGGCAUUGGCACAAUAAACCAAGUCCGCCAUUUCUUAAACCAAUCAAGCCAUUAGAGAAACAUCCCAACAAACAGUUAUGAUGUUGAAGUAAAAUAUAUACAUACAUACAUAUAUAUAUACACACACACAGAGAAAGGAUGAGGAGCGGACGUCCGCACCGAAGAAAAAGUGUAGACGUCUCUCCAUUCUCCUCCGUCCAGCGCCGAUGACGGCGCGCCUCUGCCCGAGCGGACACCAAAGGCGUCCCCGAUCACUUUCUCUUCCCAGCGAGUCCGCUGAAUUCCAGUUUGCCGGGGUGAUCGACCUUGUUUGAAGUUUUGGGUGGAGGUUGCUGCCCAGACCUUCAAAUCGAUCUCGCCGGCAAGAGAAAGUGAUCGGAGAUGCCGCUGGUGUCCGCUCAGGUGAAGAAGCGGCGUCGUCGGCACCGGACUGAGGAGAACGGAGGGACGUCCGCACUUUUUCUUCAGUGUGGACAUCCGCUCCACAGCGGGCCUAUAUAUAUAUAUAUAUAUAUAUAUAUAUAUAUAUAUNNNNNNNNNNNNNNNNNNNNACAAAACCAAAAUUGACUUCUCCCGCAUAACGCUAACAUAAGUACUUAGAAACAAUCAAGAAACCAAUAUGGCAGCAAAAACAAUAAGAAUCACCUUUGUUCCUAAAUCUGUCAAGGCUAUUGCCAUAUUAUUCUUUGCAAUCUCGAAGUUUGGCGAAACAGCUAGACAUCUGAGACAGUAGUGCAACCAAACAAGUAUACCAUUAGCAAUAUAUAUCCAACACCAAAAUUUUGAAAACUACCAUAUGCAAGCACCAACGUAGAACAACAAAAUAUUCAAACACCAGACUACCUCUCGUAACAAGCAAUAGCAGACUCCAAGUCACCACGAUUUUUGUAAAUAACGCCCAUGUUACAAUAUGCUUCAGCAUACAUGGGCCUCUCUAAUGCAGCCUUCUCAUAGCAAGUAAGUGCGGUGUCAAAUUGCAUCAUUUCAGAGUAGACAACACCAAGGUUGUAAUAAGCAGGCUGCAUUGACAGAGUGAGGUACAAUAUAAAUAUGUUAAACAGAAAAGAAAGGCGAUAAACGUCAGAAAGUUGGAAGAAUAACAAAAUUACAGCGUAGUGCGGAUCUGUCUUCAGAGCUUCAUAAUACUUCUGCAAUCCAUCUUGAGUGUUGCCAGCAAGCUUUAAGCUAGUUCCAAGAUCCGUUAAUACAAUGGCUAGGCAUUCAGCAGCAGGUUUAUAUGAAGGGUCUGCUUUCAGAGCCUUUUGAUACGACUGUUCCAAGCAAAAUUGGUUGUUAAAUUGUAUGCCUUCCAACUUUAAGCAUAGUUACCAUACAACACAAUCCACUUAUAGAUAACAUACAUAUGAUUAUAGGUCAAAAACCAUAGUUAAGUGUCACAGUAAAGUCAUUUGGCCAUAAAGCAUGCUUAUCUUUUUUUUCUUAUGCACAGAGUCAGUAACUAGUAACUCACCUAAAAGGGUGUAGAAUUCAAGGUAAUAACAAUCACUAAAACAUUGGAGUACUUCACUCAUCAAAGAAAUAUUCUUUACUUUUUUCUUUUCCACAAAUGUAAGUAAUAGGAGCAUACCUCAGCAGCCUCCCUUAGGCGGCCCUCAUCUUUGUACAAAAUUCCACAAUGUGUGAGGGCACAUGCAUUCUCUGGAUCCAACUUAAUGGCUUCCAUAAAACUGUCAAAAGCAACCCUUCCCAUAUUCUUCAUCUGCAGGCAUAUUCCUUUUCCAAUAUGAGCUUCUACGUUUCCGGCAUCUUUCUCCAACACAGUCUCAUAAAGACUAAGAGCAUCAGAAAACUUGUUCCUUGAACGAAGAAUGUUGGCAUAAGAAAUCGUCUCCUUCACUUCAAAACUCUUCCUUUCCGCAGUUGCACCGGCAAGAGAGCCACUGGUACUCGGAGAAGGCUCUGAACAGUUCAAGAAUCCAUUUUCUACAACUGGGUCCGCAUCUUUCCCAUUACACACAUCUUUAUCCGUCCAAGCCAUUUGGGAUUCAAUAAAACCUCCCUAUUUCAUGAACCAAAAUUCAACCUAUAAUCACAUCCAUCAUAAAGAUUCAAACUUUGACUGCAAAUUUGAAACCUGACACUCUAAAGUAUAAUGAAAACGUAAUAGCUUAUCUCAUAUAAACCUGAUAAACCCCAAAAUAUCAAAAAAUCUAUACAAUGCAGGUUUGAAAUUUCACACUAUGAAAAAUAUAAAAAUAUAAAUCCCAACAUAAAGAUUCAAACUUUAACCAAAAAUAUGUAUAAAAAAAAAGCCCCAAAUAUUAAAAAAUCUCUAUAAUGCUGGACUUCAAUUACUCUCAAAACAAAACCACCCCACACUAAUAACAAUCCUAAACCCUAACACAGCGCGAUCACUCAUUAAGCAAUUCCCAUAAACCCUAAACGAAAACCCAUAAGCUGAUCGGUCUGGGAAUUCAUAAAUUAACGAUCUUGAUUACAAUUAGGCUUCAAGAACAAGAAUAGGGAGUGAGAAAGUGAAACUCCAAGUCCCCAAAGUUGAGGAAUUUCGAAAAUAAAGAUAGAGAAACUUACACCGGGAUUCGAACAAGCUCCUUCUUCGCCGGAAGAAGGUGGGUCGGAGUCGGAGACCCAGAGUCCGAGCCCGGGUCGGAGUCGGAGUUUGAGGAAGAUGAAAGAAUGGAGGGGUUGGGUUCGUAAUUGGGUUCUUGGAGAGUUGGCAAAGACCGCGCAAACUCAGGGACUCUCUCUCUCUAAUUCGGAGUUGGAAUUACGGUGAGGGUCGUUGUCGGUAGCCUAAGGACCACGUCGUCCACUCUAGACUUGGAAAGGGUAUACUUGGUACUUGAUCACUCUACCUCUAAAACUUGGAGGAGCAAUGGGGUACGGUUUUAAACCUAAAAGACCCUCCAAUGGCCAGACCCUCUUUUGGGGAAAGUCACAGUGCCCAUGAGCAAUGUUCUGUUGGAAAUUCGUACAGUCGGUAUUGUGAAAGUUGUGUGUUGAAGUGGUAAUACAUAUGAGCGUGGGCGAGGAUAGAAGACAUAAAAGGAAAAAUGAAUGUCAUUGAUGGAGUUUUUCAAAAUUAAAAAGUUUAUCAGUCAUAUGACAACAAUAAUAUGGUAUUUUUCGAGAAAAAUCUGCAAACUCGACUAACUGACAUACUUGUAUCAAUUCAAAAUGGUUUUGGCCAACCUUAUUAUCUUAAAAGUUUAGAAAACUGUAUAUGUAUUGACUCUUUUAUUAUAUUCAUGAUUUGUCUAUUGAUUUGUAUGUCAACCCUAUUUGUACAAUUUUUUGUUUAAGAGGUACAAUAACCUUAAGCUGAAAUCGUUGUCCUUAAUACCGGUUUGCAAAAGAUAUAAAACACCUACUAUUCACUAUUGUACUCGUGGUGAUGUCAUGUUAGAUAAUCAACAAACUUGGUGGUCCGAUCGCCAAUCACAUCGCCAAAAAUAUAUAAUAGGGGGAUUUAAACAUUUAUUGACAAAGUCUUUGAGAGUUUGGCUUGGGCGCUUCACAACAUUUAUAAGGAGAAGUAGAUAUAGGCACAUUUCGAUAACGAUUUUGUCAUAGCAUUUUGAAAUCUCGUAAUGUUGUUAUAUUCUGAAAUACCCCCUUCCUCCCUAAUCAUCAAGUGGUUGAUCGAGAUGCUACCUUAUAUCACCAAUGCUACCUUAUAUCACCAAUACCUUUAUGUAAAUCCCCUCUUCCUCUAAAUAGUUAGACCAUUCCAUCAUCAUUAAAUGGAAACCCCCUCCUAAUACAAUCAAACUUAAAUUUCAUGGUUAUGUUCGUCCUUCUCAUAAAACGGCAUCAGGUUUCGUAGUUCAGGACUCUCUUGGUCAUCCCAUCAUUGCAGUUACAAAACAUCUUGGAUCUAUGAUGUGCUCUCUUUUGAAGCUAAAGCUAUUCGCAAGGUCUAGAUCUGUUUUUCAACUCUCACAUCCCAACCAGUCUUCAUUGAAGGUGAGUCUAAAAUCCUUUAAGAAGUGCUCGUUGGUAAGGUGAAAUGUCUCUAGAGGAUCAAAUCCUUAGUUACCGAUAUUCUUCAAUAUUUUCGUAACUUUCAAUAUGCCUCCUUCAAGCAUGUUUGGCGUGAAGAGAACUUCUGGCAGACUCCUUAACAUAUUUAGACCAUAACAUUCUUUCAACUUGCGUCUUGUAGACAAAACGGAUGGUUUUUUGGGUCGGUGAAAGGUUGGGCGAGAUUAUCUGGCUCUAAGGGAGAUGGUGGUUGCAAGGUGGUGGCUGCUGGGAUAGGGUCGCAUUUUGCAUAGACAAUCAGACUAGUUGAUGGCUGAAAAAAUAGGAAAGUCUUUCCUUUCCUUUGGCUUUUCCAAAUGCAAAAAAGGAACAACUUUCCUUUCUUGUUGCCUACUUUCCGCGAAACAAACGAGACCUUACAGUAAUGAGAGAGGCUAUUUUCAAGUGACUUGUCAUCCAAAGAAAAUAUUAUGUAAUCCCAACCCUUGGUAUAGAUGGUAUUUCAAGCCAAUUAAAAUGCAAUUAUCCAUAUAUACAUCAUUUCAAUCGUAUAAAGACAAAACUGAAUAAAUUUUCAUUUCAUAUCUUCUUUUGAAUUAAUAAACGUAGGAGCUAAGUAGUAGGAUACUAGGAUGCUCGCAGUUGUUCUAAAUGUGGUAAUCGUGAUAUUCAAACUUCCUACUGUGAGACUAUAAUUGGGUCGCUGAAAUAGUGACUUCUCUAUGUCUCGAAGCGAUUCAAUUUGCAGUAGUGGCGAUUAUGUGUCACACUGUAGUUGUUUCCUCUUUUGGAGGGUUCGCACCUUGACUGGUUGAUAGUUAGGCCGCUAAUGUUGUAUUUUGUUUAGUCUUUUGUUGUUUUGUCAACCUAUUGUUCAAUGUUGUUUGUAACAUUGUGUUUGCUUAGUAAAUUCUAUUUCACCACUAAAAGACAAAGAAACUUUUGAUGACCAUUAAUAUUGGAUGGAUAUACAUUAUUUCCAUUUAGCUCUUGUCCAUCUUCAUUUCAACACCAUGUGACUUAUUUUUCUUUUCCCUUUUGUAUGUGCAUAUAAACAGAUUGUGCCAAAUUGAUUUUGUUAUGCUUGUUGCCAACUAGAUUAGUGGUUGUAAGUAGACAAUUUGAUGUAAGUGCCUUCUGGCAAUUGAUAUAUCAAUGAAAAGAUCUAUUUGAAAGGAAAAAAAAAUUGAGUUUGAAGAAACUAACAUGUUUCAAUAUAAGAUGCCCAAAGUUUUUUGAAUCAUUCAUGCUGCCAAUUAGCAGAUAAUUAGUUACAAAGUAAGGUGGUGUUCGAUAACAUAUCCAUGCUUGUAUUUUCAUUUUUGAAAAUGUAAAUGUGAGAAAAAUAAGUUUGGUGAGACAUUUCUAAAACGUCAAAAAUAAAUAAGGAAAAUAUUUUCAACAUUUUCAAAGAAAAACUAAAAACAUCAAUUUGACGUGUUCACUAUUUCAUUCUUCUAGUUUAUAAAAUAUAUAAAAAAUGUUUUUCGUAAUAAACUACCGAAUUCAUUUCUAAAAUUGAAAAUACAAUCUCAUUAUCUAAUUUUUAUAUUCAAAUUUUAAUCUUAGAAAUCGUUUUCAAAAAUCUUCUUUCAUUAAAGUGGGCUAUGAUGAGUAUUUACAAAAAGUGGCUAUGAUGAGUUGUUUAACUAAAUGAGAGAAGGCGCGAUAAGAUUAGAGAAUCUUUGUGCACUACAAUAAAGAAUUCAAUUAGCCACACCAAAUUGCCACGGCGAAGAUUUGUCGUCGCCAUUGGUCUAAGUUUUGCGACGGCGCUGCGACGGCAAAGCAACCGUCGCUAAAUUAAAAUGAUUUUGCGACGACAACUUCGCACCGUGGCAAAAAUAUGUGAACUUUGCUACGGCAAUAUGGUGCCGUGGCAAAAAAAAAAUUGCGACGGCAUAUGAUGCGGUGGCGAAAAAAUGUGAACUUCUGGUUUAAUCGUAACCAUUGAUCUCAUCCUCACUUCAUCUGGACCAUUGGUCCCAAGUAUAAAACUUAAAACCCUAUUCUAUUCUUCAGUUCUCUUUUCUAGCUCCUUGCCUCCUUCAGUCGAGAACCGAGAAAGACUAUAGUCGAAACCAACCCUAGCCCGCCGCAGCCGAGUUUCCCCCACCGUCCUCCGCAGCCGAGUUAUAUGCCACCGUCCUGCGCAGCCGAGUUUCCGCCACCAUCCGGCGACAUCUCGACCUCCCACCAUACUAUUUGCACCCUCUCUCCGUCCUCUACCCUAACCCAGUUUUGGUCCUCUCUAGUUUGAAUUGAAUAAGGACAGUUCGUCGGACUUUGCUUUUCCGACGAGCUUCCUCGUCUCCGGUCACCUGCUAUUCACCCUUGGUAAUCCUUCUCUUCCUUUUCCUUUUCUAUCGAUUUCUUCAUCUUUCUUCUGAAAUCAAAGUCGAUUUCCUAAUUUUCCUUUGUAAAUCUGGUCUAGCUUUCUAUUGGUUUUUGUUUUGUUAAUUUAGAGUGUUGAAUAUAAUUUAAAUGUGAUUUCGGCUUGGUGUUAGGUUGGAUGGGUUUCUAAAUGUUGAUGGUGGGUAUGCAAUUUGGUCUCCUUCGAGGUCGAAUUCGCAGAAGAAUGCGACCACUGACUAAUCCUUCCUCUCGACAUCCGUUGAGUUUACCAGGAGAUCUACCAACCAAUCCUUCCUCUCAACCUCCUGUCCACCUUUAUAAAACUCUCUGGGUUCUUUCUGUGUCAGAUUUCAUUUUAGUUACUGUUCAUUUGACUGGGUUUUCAUUCACAUCUCUAUAUAUAUUGUUAGUUUUAGGUUGGGUUUGAAUACGUUAGGGUUCUAGUAUGUUUUGCAGAUCGAAAAAGGUAGGAGCUACAAGUUUAAGAGAUUUAGGUUUCUUUCUAUUGUGCCUUACUUCUGCCAAUAUAUAUCAGCAUUCAUAGUGGUUUACAUAGUAAUUGAAGUAGAAUGAAGUUGUUCCUUGGACAGUUAGUGCAGAACAUAUGAAAUAUGGGAAUGCUAAUUUAUCUUUUGGUGUCAGUUUUUGCUGAAACAUGAUAUGAGUUUUCGUACCUCUUUCACCAUAUACUGGUUUCAGGUAUAAAUUGCUCUCCUUUCUACAUGUUUUGAGUUUUUAUUGUAAUUUCUUUUUAUGGUUUUUCGUUCAUUCUUGGUUUAGUUUCAUGUCUUAUGCUUCAUGGGUUACAUAUUUACAUAGAGUUAGUUAUAAAUUUCCAUCUUUCCUUCACUUUUGCUUGUUGAACCCCUCAAAAACCCUUUAGCUGAUAUAAUUCCAUCUUCUAAAUUUCACACCAUUAAAAACACUGUAAAUAUGCUCUUUGCUAAAUUAAAGACGCACCUCCAACUCUUCUAAACCCCUCGAGAAACCCUCAAAUGUUGUUCAUAAAUUUUGGUUACUCUAGUGUUAAAUACAAAUAAGAAAAACUUCUGGACAGUUUAGGCACUUUGGAUAAGGGUUUCCAUAAGUCUGAAAUUGGGGUUACAACAAAGAUUAUGUGAACCUUAUAAUUGAACUGUCAGUAGGCUAUAAGAGGUUAGUACAAUGUGAAAUUCCAGGUUAGCACUUUGCAUGUUUUAUUGUGGAAAUAAAUUUUUUGAUUUUUUGUUUUAACUAAUUGGUUUCAGUUGUUGAGUACAAUCCGUAUCAGAUUAGGACAAUGGAGGAUUCAGUUCGGAUUUGGAAUUGAGCCAAACUUGUAGAGCUUAUUAGAUUGGUAAGGAGAAGGAUUCAGAUUCAGAGUCUGGUCUGUUUCGGUUGAUGUUGUACUGGAAUGUUGAUUUUUGACAAAGGGACUGUUUGCUAUGACCUUUAGGUGAAGCAACUUAAGAAGGAUCUUUCUACUGAGCUUUCGACUAGGGUUGAAUUUAAGGGAAGAUAGUCUUUUCUUUCUGUUGUGUUGUGUUCUGUUUUUAUCUUUGUUCAUUACUCUUUACUUGAGGAACAACCUGCUUCCAUGAGAGUGUCAUAGCUUGUAAUUGUUCUCCAUUUUCUAAUCAGCCUGUUAUUGUUAGCUUUGUCAAGGAACAAGAAGGUAGUUGCAUAACUGUUUUGCACUCUAAAUUCUAAUGUUGGAAGUUAAUGUUCCUAAAUGUUUACUCUAGAUGUUGAACUUACAUGUUUCUUUUGUUUCCCAUAUUUAUUCAUGAUGAAAAAUUUGGGCNNNNNNNNNNNNNNNNNNNNUUUACGUACUUUACUGUGCUCAUGCUGCAGCCUUACGAUUUCAGAUGAUUUGCAACUCUGAACAAAGUGUGUAUCAAGACUUGGUGCUAGGCCUGAACAUACUACUGAAGAGCUAUUAACUUCAUUGUAGUUUUGGUUUGUAAACCUGUGAGCUUAUCUCUUAUAUAAUCUUGAAGUAGAGGAAAAGAAGUAUUUUGAAUUGUUCUGUAAACUCUUGUAUAGAGCUUCAUUUACUUUUUGUACAGCUUUUAUCCACAAAAUUCUUCUAUAUAGUUCUUAUGCAAAAUUUGCAUUUGAGGACAUUUAAUUGAAUGUGAAUUCUUUUUCAAUAUGUUGAAUCCUUUUUCCACAGCUUUUGUCCAAAAGAAAAAUUAAAAGUAAAAAUCUGGCAUGCUUAUAUGCUUGGCAGAUUUUUUUUUUAAUUCAUAAAAAGGACUUUGCGACGGCAAUUUGCCGUCGCUAAUGGGUGAUUUGCGACGGUGCAAGCAGUCGCCAUUUGCUGUCGCCAAAUUAGCGACGGCCUUUGCAGUCGCUGCGUGCCGUCGCCAAUACAGUGGCAACGGCUCAUUGCCGUAGCCAGAAGCAACGGCGACGGAAAAAAUGCCGUCGCCACGCCGUCGCCGUUGGUCUUUUGCGACGGCAGAAUGACUUUUGGCGACGGCUUUGUGCCGUGGCUAACUGAAUUAAUUUUUGUAGUGUAUGGACCAAUAUGGAACUUAAUGUUUAGAGCAAUUGACAUUAAGAACAGGACAGUUGAAAUUUGUGGUCUGUAUUAUGGCUUGACAAAUGGUGAGUUAACUCGCGUGAUGGGAAUCACAGACGGCUGGCAGGAGGUUGAGGAGGGAUGGUCCCUUUUUGAUUGGGAAGAGACGUAUGUAAGGAGAUAUUUAUUUGACGAAGGGGGUCGACACAUUCGAAUAGCCCGAUUGGUGGAAAUUGUACGUUACAAAGAGGGGGCUGACAACUUGUUCAAAACAGCAUUUGCUCUCUACACACUUACCACAUUGCUGUGUCCUGGGAGAGAUGGCUUGGUCAACAUAGGCUUGGUGGGAGCGGUACUGUCUGCUCCUGACAUCAAAAACAAAAAAUGGGCGUCGUAUGCAGUCAAUUUUCUGUUGGAAGGAGCAGCGUCACAUACAGAUGAUGAAGGAGGUUUUGUGAGUGGUGGCGUCAUGUUUCUACAGCUGCUGUACUUGGAUGUUGUAGGAGAGCAACUCAAUUUGUUCCAGAGGAUAGACCUCUCGCCAAUAUACGUAUGGAACCCAGAAUACAUGACCUCACUUGUUGGUCACAUUACGCACCACAGUGGUUUCUCUUGCCCCCUAGUGAUAAACAAAAUAAGAGAACGGAAGAUCGCCUAAAUGACUUUGUCAACAGCGACAAAACAGUUGGGAUAGGAAUAGACCGGUCAGUACACGAAGAUCUUUACGAAGCACUGAUACGUAUCGAUGCUCUGGAGACUCGAAUUGCUGACAUGACAGACAUGUGUAGGUGGUACAGACCGGAUCUGGAAGAAAUGAAAAAAAUGAUGCUGGAGUUGGGAGAUGUAAUUGAGUCUAUGAAAGAGGAUAUUGUACACAGAGUGGUGGACAAGCGAAAGUCGUCGAUAAAGUGAAAAAGAGAAGGGAAGGAUGGAGCAACAGGCUUCGGCAGCAGAAGUUCAGCUAAAUCAAUGAGCAGACCUUCAUCAGGUUGUGGCAAUAUCCACAACAUUGUAACAUCGGCGGUGGAUGGACUGAAACCACCUUGUGCAAGACGUUUGGACGUAAGUUACUCUAUCUUUACAAACUUUAAUAGCUCUUCCAUCGUGCCAAUUGAUGGAACCAAUGUUUGUAAGAAUUGUUAUGUUAAACACACAGUAUAAAUAANNNNNNNNNNNNNNNNNNNNGCAAUAUUAAUUUCUCAUAAUCACAUAUUGAAUGAAUGAUUUGCUCAAACUCAAGCUAAAUAAGUUUUACUCUUCUAUGUGCAGCAACUACUCAAGACAUCAUCAACUAUUCAGUAUGUGGUUUUCUGUUUAUCACUACAUACAUGUGUGUGCGUGUGAAGUGUAAAGAUAUGGAAUUGACUAAAACACAAUCAAUGAUGGACAUGUUGUUCUAUGCAUAUACAAUUUACUAACACCAGAGAAAUGACAUAUUAGCAGUUUCUUGUAGAUUAUUAGGGCCCGUUUGCUUAACCUGUUAGGUGAUUGAGUACACAUGCUAGAUUGUUGAGCUUGGUAUCAAGUACAUGUGCUAUAUGAUAUAUGAAGCUCAGUUGCCUAAUUGAUUAACAACUCAAACCUCAAUGUAUGUUGUGUGGUAAUACCUGGGCACAUUAUUUGGAUAAUUUUAAUUUGACUAAUAGUAGUCUAAUAGGAAUGGAAAUUAUUAUAUACUCACACAUUAAUCAUCAUAUACCAAGAAAUUAUAGGCCUGAGCAAUAGUAGUCUUGUUUACUUACACGUUAAUCAUCAUAUACCAAGAAAUUAUAGGCCUGAACAAUAAUAGUCUUAUUUACGUACUUUACUGUGCUCAUGUUGCAGCCUUACGAUUUCAGAUGAUUUGCAACUCUGAACAAAGUGUGUAUCAAGACUUGGUGCUAGGCCUGAACAUACUACUGAAGAGCUAUUAACUUCAUUGUAGUUUUGGUUUGUAAACAUGUGAGCUUAUCUCUUAUAUAAUCUUGAAGUAGAGGAAAAGAAGUAUUUUGAAUUGUUCUGUAAACUCUUGUAUAGAGCUUCAUUUACUUUUUGUACAGCUUUUAUCCACAAAAUUCUUCUAUAUAGUUCUUAUGCAAAAUUUGCAUUUGAGGACAUUUAAUUGAAUGUGAAUUCUUUUUCAAUAUGUUGAAUCCUUUUUCCACAGCUUUUGUCCAAAAGAAAAAUUAAAAGUAAAAAUCUGGCAUGCUUAUAUGCUUGGCAGAUUUUUUUUUUUAAAUUCAUAAAUAAGACUUUGCGACGGUAAAUUGCCGUCGCUAAUGGGUGAUUUGCGACGGUGCAAGCAGUCGUCAUUUGCUGUCGCCAAAUUAGCUACGGCCUUUGCAGUCGCUGCGUGCCGUCGCCAAUACAGUGGCGACGGCUCAUUGCCGUAGCCAGAAGCAACGGCGACGGAAAAAAUGCGGUCGCCGUUGGUCUUUUGCGACGGCAGAAUGACUUUUGGCGAUGGCUUUGUGCCGUGGCUAACUGAAUUAAUUUUUGUAGUGGUGCCUAGACCACGCUGUGUGCGUUCUAAGAGUUUGGUUUGCGAUGACUAUCAAUAAAUAAGCUUAAAGAUUCAUUCCACCUAAACCACGAGGAGUGGGUUCUUUGAGUUCAAUUGGUUUGUGGGGCUAUAAAUGAAGGAUUUCAGUCGGUUCUCUGGGGUUAUAUUGGAGGUAUCAAUGUUGGGAGUUUUGGCGUGCUUAGAACAGGUUGAGAGAUUAAUGAAGAAUCGACAAGUGCUAAGUGGGAGAGGUUCUGAUGAAGAUCAUAUAAUAAGGACCAAAUUUAAUACACUAGUAGAUAAUAAGGAUCAUCUAACUGUAUCACAUCCCGACUCUUAAAUUUUUACCUUAUUUACUAGCUUGAUUAUAAUAAGAAUUUUACCGUCUCCGUCAUUGAGUUAUUAGUUUAAUUGAUCCAUAGAGGGGUUUCGGAGACAAUUAUGUGCGGAGGAUUAUUCGUAGGAGGAAAAUACGACGACGGUAAAAAUGGUAAAUUUUAGCUAGUAAAAGGUAAUUUUUAUUAGGGUAUUAUUUUUCUGGGUGUUUUAUUUUUUUGGGAGUUGGAUAUAAUGGUGGAGUUGGACCGGUUGAAAAGGCCCAACCCAUUUCCCUCUCUUCUCUCCCGUUUUCCCCUCCCUCGAGUCUUCUUCCCUGUCGGAUCGUCCAGCCAGCCAUCGGCCGCCGCUCCAGCCCAGUUCGGAGCCCCGCCACCUCCUCUCCCUUCCCGGCCUAGUGCCCCCGCCUGUAACGCCGUCGAGCUGGAGUUUUCCCUCCGGAGACGCCGGACUAUCCUUUGCCGGAACUCCCUCCUCCGGCCACCAAAACCGGCGAUCCAUAGCUCGUUUUGUAGCCCUCCUCCCGUGCAGCAACCCCUCCAAAUAGCUCACCCUCUCUUGAGCUAGGUAAGGAGAAAUGUGGAGUUGAAAUUUCUAGGGCUUUUAGGAUGUUUUUAGUCGAUUACCCUAGCUAGUUAGGCUUGGAAUUGGUGUUUGUGCUAGUUAAGAGAGUUGUAGAGCAUGAUGAGAGGAUUUUUCUGUCAAAAUUUCAUAGGCAUUGGAGAUCGCCGGAAUCGGCCUCCGCCGCUGUUUGGGAGAUUUUUAUGGUUUUAAAUGUGGAAUUUUAAAGGGAGUAUAUUGAUGUAAAUUAUGGAAUUUUUGGAUGAGUUUUGGAUAGGUUGGUGAAUUUCCUAAGUUUGGUAUUUUGGCGGUGAUUUAAUGUAGAAUCCGGCCGUUGAAUUAAAGUUGUUUAAACUGUGGGAAGGUGUAGUUACGGCUGCUGGUUGUAGGGUUGAAAUGUGGAGCAUUUCGAAGUUAGGCAAUGACGAGCGUGUUUAUGGCUCUCGGUUAAUUUUGCCUAUUUUGCGUAAAUAUUGGAAUUUCGGACUGGGAAAUUAAUAUUAUUUUUGGAACAGGUCGUGAGGAGGCUCUAGCUGACGAGGCCCCAGAUCGACAUCAGGCUUAGGCCUAAUUUGUGAGUGGACUUUUAUUUUAAAUAAUGUGCAUGCGAAAUAAUUUAUGUGGUUAGAGAAUAACCGAAAUUGAGAAUUUCGGUGAGUAUGUAUAUAUAUCCAUAUUUGGAUGAUUAUGAGAAUAAUAUGUAUAUGAGGGAAUGCUAGCUAGCUAUACGUGCUUUUCCACCAUACUGAGGUAAAAUGCCAUUAUGGUGCGACGUGAGCGUUAGACGCAAUCGUCGUAGUCCUAUAUAAAUAUAAUAAUUUAUAUAGGGGAUAUGCACGUAUAUAUCUAUAUAUAUAUUUAUACACCGUCUUUUCCACCAUAAUGAGGUAAAAUGCCAUUAUGGUGCGACGUGAGCGUUAGACGCAAGCGUCGUAGCCUUGUGUGAAUUUUCUAUUUGUCUUUGUUGUUUCAAGAAAAUUCAUACAAGGGAUAUGACGAGUGUAAUACAUACAUAUUUUAUUUUAGCCUGAGAGGCUCUUAUUUUUGAAGUGUUGGUGACUAGCGCGGUUAGUCACGUUUCGGUAAGUUCGGUAAAUUUUUUAAAAGCUUUUGGAGCUUGUUGCAUGCUGUUAACUAUUUUUCCUCAGAAGUUAAUUUGGGAAGCAUAAAGAUUUAUUUUCUUUUAAAAUUUAUUUUUGUCCACUCACUCUAACGUGUUUCAAAUGUCUUCCCUUGGGCUCUUUGUUUUAAAAUGCCCAGUCUGCAGAGUUCAGGUUGGAUCUAGUAGGAGGCGAGGCAUAGUCACCCGUUUUUCCGCCAGUUUUCCUCAGUAGAUUACAUGUUCAACCUACUCGUGUUUUCUUGCUUCCGCUAGAGUCUAGUAGCUCUGGAUACUUUGGGUUUAUUGUAUAUUAUUUCGGUAAUGUGCUUGGUCGGUUGACUUCAUGUUUAGAGUCUAGUAGCUCUGGAUACUUUGGGUUUAUUGUAUAUUAUUUCGGUAAUGUGCUUGGUCGGUUGACUUCAUGUUUAGAAUUUCUGAAGGAUAAGAUUUGCUGUUUUUAGCUGGAUAAUUAUGUGACGUUUGGACGUGCUGUAAUAAGAGUAAAUUUGAAUUUUUCGAGUUAGGGUUGUCCAUUUUCAAAGGAGGUUUUAUCAAUUUUUACGGUAAGUCCCCGCAUGACUUACUCCGGGUUUCAGGGUGAAAUUCGGGGUGGGUCGUGUCAAACUGUUUAUUUAAAAGUCUCACUUGGUCCUUAUCAGGAAGUCUUUAUCAUGAGGUCCUCAUCGGAAGCUCUCCUAGAGUGCUAAGAUUAGGGAAAAAAGGUUUGGUCUUGGUUUGGGUUAAGCCGAAGUUAACUAUUAUGUUUUAAAUUGAUUUUUUUACUAGGCUUUAGAUUACAUGGUGCCAGAUCCAGAAUGAAGGGAAGUGGAUAUCAACAAUUUCUUUCCCUUUGUAAUAAGAAUAAGAAUUUUUGGUUAUAUUGGAUUAUAAUAAGCCCUUACUUGGAUAAGCUAUGAUUGUCCCCCAUCCCGAAGAUCCUGAAGAUCACUUCUUGCAUGACAUUGCUCAGGUGGUGCACCACAUGCACAUUUGGCGAUGACUCUUAGCAAAGUCUCAAUCCUAGUAUAGACUACUACAACUUAACAUAACAAAGCUACAAAGUUUGACCCACUAGUAUAUCCGCCAAAGACUUUUACAGUGUAUCCAUACAAACAAAAUUGGAUUAACUGUGUAAUAACGAAAUGAAACAAGGAUAAAGUUCAAUACAGGUGGCUCUUUUCGGGAUCCGAAUCAUGCAAGUUAUGGUGGUAUUGCUUGGAAUCACAAAGGUUUUUUUUUUUGCAUGCUUUUGCGGUAUGGGCUCUAGUUCCGAGUGCAUUAGAUGUUGAGGUAUUGGCGGCUUUCCUGGAGGCCAUCCACAAUUCCAAGCUUCGAGAUUGGCAUCACUUAUGAAUAGAAACAGACUCCCAUCUUCCGGCCUUGGUUUACUCUGCUUUUCGUUUUGACCAACAUGAAAGUUGUUGUAACCAGUGUUCUAAAAGGCGGCGCCUACAUGCUAAGCAUCAAUGAACCACCUUGCUCUUCACCCAUGUCUUUGUGUUAGGGUAUGAGCAAUUAGGCUAUCCACUAGGUGUCGUACAACCUGCCUAGGCAGGCUAGGAGCUAUGGCUUUUCUUCUUUUUUUUGGUUGGGUUGCAGUAUUGUCAGAGUAAGAGGCUCCAAGAAUUAAGGUUAUUUUUUUAAUUGAAAAUUUAUAAUUUCAUUGUUCAUUUACAUGUCAAGUUGCUCAUUUUUUAUGGAUAUUUUGCCAAAUUUUUUAGUAGAUUAUCUUCUACAAGUAUAUUUAUUUUACUAUUUUCAAUACUAUAUUUUAAAUAAUUAAAUGUGAAAAAAAUAUAUCGUCUCGUCCUCACCUAAUCCUCGUCUAGGCUGUCGACGCUAGGUUGUUGGUUACCGCCCACCUAGCUCCUAGUGUUUUUUAGAACAUUGGUUGCAACAAAGGCUUUUCCUUAUACUUAAAAAAAACAAAACAAAAAAAACAAAUCUUUGUGUAUGAAUGAUUGUCAACAUCAAGUAGAAAACAAAUAAUUGAUCUUGGGAAAAAUAAAAGAUAAAUAUGGAUGAUUUGCAUUAUUCAAAUGGAGAUUGAUGUUGAAAAAAAAAAAAACAAAUUCUUCACUGUUUAUCAAUGUGAAUUGACAGUUGAUAUUGAUUUUACGCAUACUUUUCUUUCUUUUCUUUUUUUUCUUUUUUUUUUAUNNNNNNNNNNNNNNNNNNNNUUUUUUUCUUUUUUUUUUAUAGAAAAUAUACAAUUUCAUUAACUUGUCUACUGCUAGAAAACGCUUACAUCGAUUUGUCUGCUCACAACAAAAAUUCUAGUUGGCAACAAGCAAUAACAAAGUGACAGGUAACUCUCAUUAUAAAUACGCUUAGUUAAGCCUAUCACAUUCACACCUAACUUCAAACUAAUCCUAUCUAGAUUCCAUGUAACGGUAAUACACGUCAUAUACGCAUACCACUCUUCAUACAUAUAAGACUUCAUUAUUUGAUUAGCUAAGUGGACGUUGGUCCUGGGUUUGUGCUAUUGGCCUAAUAUCCUUUUAUUUUAUGUAUUAUUAUUAUUUUUUGUUAUUAGUUUUUAUUUUUAUUUUUUAUGCUAAAAUGACCAAAUUACAAAGAAUAACCUCUAGAGCAACCAGCUUUAAAGAUGUCAAAAUUCAAAGCCUGCCUAACAGCAGGAAAGUUGACCUCCCAACAACUAGGAUUAGAGUGCUUGUGUCCCAAAUUAGCAAGGGCAUUAGCGACGAAGUUUGAUUCUCGAAGAACAUGAUGAAAGGAGAUAUGAUAAAAAAAUGUACCAAUCAUUCUAAUAUCUUGGAUAAUCUGGAGGAGCUUCCAGGGGCAUUUGAACUUCAUGUUGACGCAAUUGAUGACCAAGGAAGAGUCACCCUCAACAACCACAUUUUUUACGUUCCUCUCUUUCGCUUUGAGGAGGCCGUCUCUGAGAUCAGUUGCUUCUACGACUAGGACGUUUAUUUUCCCAAUAUAACGCGUAGCAGCAACUACAAGACACCCCACAUCAUCUCUUAAAACAAAUCCAACAGCUGCAACAGAGCUUUGUUGAAGCAUUGAACCAUCAAAAUUGAUCUUCACAACACCAAGAGGGGGCAAUGUCCACUUGAUGUUAUUUUCAUCCUUGGAUCCCAUCCUAGUGUUACUUGCAGCCUGGAGGUUAGAAUGAUGAUAAGAAGCUGCACAAGCAACAACAGCAUAAGCAGAAAAAUGUUUAUUUCUUAACACAAAGUCAUUGCGUUUCUGCCAUAUUUGUCAACAUAAAGUAAAGACCUUUUCAAAUUUAUCAGCAUCAAAAGGGUUAUCAAUAAAAAUAUCAUGCAUUUUUUGGGCCAAGUCAUCUAUAUUACAAACAUCCAUGAAUCCUGCAAGGUUCCACACUUGAUCUGAAAUGGGGCAUUUACAAAACAGGUGGGAAAUAGUUUCCUCCUCCUGGUUGCAUAAAGGGCAAAGAUCAUUGUCAAUAAAACCAAAUCUAUGUAAUCUAUUUUUGUUUUUAGCCGACCCUAUAAAAACAGCCAGCUAAAACCUUUAAUUUUAGGAGCCAUGUUAGACUUCCAAACUUUCUUAAGUAAAGAAAUAUGAUCAUGAGGUUCAAUGUCCUCACACUACAUCCAAGUAGCAGAUUUAACACAAAAAUCACCUGUAGGACUAGCUCCCCAAACAAAACAAUCAUAUUGUUCAUUGACAGGAAUAGGGAUACUACAAAUUUGGUCCACAAUGUUGGCAUCAAGCACACCAAGAAGUUUAUAUCUAUUCCAAGAUUUAUUCAUAAUAUAAUCAGCCACAAUAUCAUCCCAGUUAAUAGAGUCACGUUGAGAAUCAUCAAUAACAGAGAUAAGGGGAAUAGGUAAUACCCAAUUAAAAGUCCAGAAAGCAAUAUCAGUGUCAUUUCCAACCAUCCACCUGGUCCAUUUUUCAAGCAGCUCUCUUGAAUCCAAAAUCCCUUUCCAAGCCAUUGAGGAAAAAGCCUUUUAUUAAAAUGAGCCGAGGGUCUUAUGCCUAAACCUCCAACUUCUUUUGGAGUGCAGACUUUAUCCCAAGCCACAACGGGGGACUUUGCACUAGAACCCCAAAAGAAAUCUCUAUCCUUCUUAUCAAUCUGCUUUGUUAUCUUAGAAGGACAUUUAAAACAAGACAUAAUGUGAUUCGGCAUACCAGAAAUAUUAGCUUUAAUCAAAGUUAAGCCUACCAACCCUUGAUAAAGAACAUUUUUUCCAACCUGCCAUCUUAGAAUUAAUUCUCUGUAGAAGCUCAUUAGCAUUGACCGGAUCCUUCCAAAAAACAAUGUUGUGAAUGCCAAGAUACUUACCAAUUGUAGCCUUAUGUUGGAUCUGCAAAACAGUCACAAUAUCAUUCUUGACCGAAUUAGGAACUUUAGGGGAAAAAUAGAAAGAAGACUUAUGAAAAUUUAUUUUUUGUCCUGAGGCCUUAGAGAACUGGUUCAGAAUCCUUAAAACAUUCCUUGUAGCUUUUGUAAACCCUUUGCAUAAGAUAAGGCAGUCAUCUGCAAACAUUAGAUUAGCAAUUCUAAUGCCACAAGGGGAAAAUAUAUAAGAUACCCACAUGGGAGUUAGGAUUCUCAGAAGCCCUAUUUAGAUGUCUAAUCAAAGGUUCCAUGUACAAAAUAAAAAUGUAGGGUGAAAGUUGAUCACCCUAUCUAAUUCUUCUAGUAGGGUGAAAGAAAUAAAUAUGGUUAUAUGUCAGCAUAAGUCCUUACAUGAGUUUUGUAAGGUUAGUCGGGCUGCGUGUCUAUGUGUGCGCUCAUAAGGCCUUGUCUGCUCUGAGCAAGUGACAAGUUCCAUACUAUGUCAAAAGGUUGUUGCCUAGCUCCUAGUGGCAGAGUGAAAUUAAGUGUCGUCGGAUUUUUUCUCUAACGACAACAUAGUGAGAAAACACUGCUUUUGGUAAUGAUGCUUCACAUUAGUUGAGUUAUCUUUUGAUAUGUCACUGCUACAAAUAUAAUCACUAAAAUAUGGUAUAAAUCACAUGGUUUGGAAAUUAAAUGAGCUUAUGCUCCAAACUACAUUUAUACGUACUAAAUAUUUCAUUCUUAGAGAAGCUAAAUUUUGAUAUCUUAACUUUGUAAAACUUCAAAACAAUAUCUCACGUUCUUAUCCCGACUGAAAUUUGGUAUCUACGACCGUUACUUCCGUUAAAAAAACUAACCGUGGACAUAUUAUAAUCAUAAAAUGACCAAUAUACCCUUUACUUUCUAUUUUCAUUAUUUUCUUUUCAUAUAAUAAAGGACUAAUUUCAGUUUACCUCCAUCAACUUUAAGUCGAUCAUCAUGUUAGUCAUUCUUUCAAUUUCAUUAAAAACACCCCUCAACUCCUAAUUUUCAUCAGCUGCGCAUGUCUAAACCUCUAAUCUCCAUCCAAUUCCUCUGUCAAGCGAUGACUUGAUAUUAAGAAGAAAGUCAAAUUCUGAAAGUUACCUUUCGGACCAUUUUCCCCCCAUAUCGAUACACAUCUUCGUUCCCAUCACAACCCCCUAACCUUAGUGAUUUUGGUGGGAUUGAAUGCAAUUUGUCUUUUUUUCUUUUUUUUCUUCUUAAUAUCAAGUCAUCACUUGACACAGAAAUUUGAUGGAGAUUAGAGGUUUGGACAUGCGCGGCUGAUGAAAAUUGAGAGUUGAUGGGUGUUUUUGAUGAAAUUGAAAGAAGAAUGACUAAUAUGAUGAUCAACCUAAAGUUGAUGGGGGUAAACUGAAAUUAAUCCUAUAAUAAAACAGCUAAAAAUAUUCUAUUAAUUUAUUUAAACUAGUUGUUAGUUUAGCAAGCGAUUUCAUCCUCUCUUCCCUCCGAUCUGCUCAACUAAUUGAAAUUGUGGAAAUUUUCCAACUCACUAAACAAUUGUGAUGAUUAAUCAUAUCCCUUGCUUGUUAACACUUCAGAUGUUCAGUUUUCCAUCAAUCAUAUCCUUAAUCUGCUCUCAUAAACCCCAAUUCCCCACUCUUCCCAAAAUUUCCUUUUGAAUUCUAGGUUUGAGUUGAAAUUUCUGACUACCAAGAACGACCAUCAACUUGGUAACAAAAAGAACUGCAGCCUUCCUUACAGCUGCCUUCUCAUUCAUACAGCUUGCCCUCAAACCCAACUUGCUCCUCAACCUCCAUAACUUUCUUCACCCCCUCAAGAUUCUUAGCCACACCCAUUAUCUGAUCACCCACAAAAAUCAAAGCAAUAUCGGAACUUGCGAUUUAUACUGAAGAAUCAUGGGUACCAAUGACUUAAACACCUUAGCUGCAAUAUUAGCAUGGUCUCCAUUCUCAGCCACGAAUUGCCAUAAACUGCAAACCCAGUCACCGAAAUCUCAGCCACGGUUUGAACCAACAACUUCAAGCUAUCCUGAAACCGGUCCAAAUGAACCAAAUCAAGCACUGAAAACAAAACUCUAACAUCAAACUCCCUCUCAAUCACCAAUUCCAAUUUUGAGUUCUAGUGGUUUUGUCGGAGGUAGAUCUGGGAAUUGAUCUUGGCAGCAGAGUGAUAGAUUUGGAGAGAGAUAGACAUAAAGAUAUAGAGAUUUUUUUUUAGAAUAAUUAGAAAUAAAGAAAAAAAAUUAAGAUGGGAAAGUACAAAAAUAUCCUUUAGUUGUCAAUUUUUUUUAACGAACAUAUCUGUUGUAGAUACUAAAAUUCGGUCUGAGUAAGAACGUAAGAUACUGUUUUGAAGUUUCCAAAAGUUGAGACACCAAAGUUUAGCUUCUCUAAAAGGUGGGACAUUGUUUGGACUAUUUUUCCUAAAAAGAAUGUACUAAAUAGUUACCCCUGAUAAAAAUAGCAUGAUACACAUAACUACAUGCAUUAAUCCGAUUGGUGGGAAAUUUGGGAUGAAUCAUAAAAUGCAUGAUAUUCUAGAAACUUUUAUUGACUAGGCUAUUUAUUGAAAAUUCAUUAAUUAGCAUAAUUAACGAAUGUAUUUUUUUUAACAAAAGGCUAGUAGGGCUGCCCUAAAGCCUUGAUUAAUGAAACUAUAUAAUACAAAGGGGGAUAUGUAGCCUAAACUCCUAAUUACAAUAAGCAUAUAGAAGAAAUCCCGAAAUAAUAUCGAGAAUAUCUACAAAAUACAUGUAAACUAAUAAGCACCAACUAACAAAGAGUACCACUCUAUCUAAUGACGACUCCAUUUGUUUUUUCACGAUGGUGACAUAAUGGGAAGAUCACUAGUUAUGUAACACCUACUGUCCUAUAAUACAACGUCAUUACUAUGUUGUUGUUGGAUAAUAAACCCAAUGACAAUUAAUUUCAUCAUGUCAAUAAAAGGUUGCUAGUUGUUACCAUUUUACCAAGCAAACCUACCUAGAGCAAAGAAGGCACACAAGAUGCUGCAUAGACCGACACAAGAGUCCAAGACCAAUCACACCCUACCUUAAAGUUAUAGGGUAUUAUUGGCGACAUAAAGACAUAUAGAACUAGAAGUAGAAUGCAAUAAAGCAUCAAUAGAACAAACAAAAAAAAGGAUGUGAAAUCCACACACCCUAAAUUGGAAUCUAUACACUCUUUUUCUUUUUGUAUCUUAGAUUUUAUCUUUUACUGACUUAAACUUUGUCUUUUUAUGAAUAUUUUAACUAAAAGCGGAAAAAUGUGUGUGGAUUUCAACUUAGGGUGUGUCGAUUUCACAUCUAAAACAAAAACAUAAAAGUAAAAUAGAAUAGGCCCAAAUCCAAAACCCAAGCCCACAAACUACCAAGCCCAUGUCCAUAUUGAACAUCGCGAGUCUUGCUGCGUCACCAACCCAACUGCAAAUAUCCUUGCUAUCCCACCUCCAGGCAAGACUGUUGUCCUUACCACUAUCUCAAAUCCUCAAACGAACCUCAACAAACCAAACCAGAUUGCCGCAUUCUGAUCUCCAGCCCACCAGCCACCACUUCCACUCCCCUAUAACAAGCACAUACGUUCUAACCAUCGAAAAAACUCCCACGCUGCCUUCACAUCGACUGGGCGAAUCACCGAAUACGAGAUCCAUUUGGCCAGUCAGACGACGUCGCCACUUGUGCGGGCCGUCGGACAAGACAUAGCCUUGGCUGUAGAGACCUAGGCGUACGACGCUCUAAGGUUUCAUAAGGUACCUCUUCAUGAAGUUCUGAGAUCCUUCUCGAAGAGUUUCACUUCUCUCGAGAUCUUCUUGGAAGGGUAUCUUCCUUGACUAGAUUUCUCCUUGAUCACUUAGGUUUUCCUCAAGAAGAUUUCUCCUCAAGAUGCCACUUAUUAAAACGGGAUAGCAUAUUCGAACUAUGUUAUUUUAUUUUUAAUAUGAAUAUCUCUUUUAGUAAUUUAAUAUACAAGUACCGCGGAUAACUCAAAACAUAAAGUCAGAGUUUAAAAUAGGCUGGGUCAAUCGAUUAUUCGAUUACCAGAUAAGGUUCUUGCUCACAUACCAUCACUCAUUCGAACGAUUGAACUAUUAAUUUUGUCUAACGUUGUGUUUAGAUAAAGUAAAUGCAAUUUUCACGAAAAAUUUAAAGUCAUAAGAAUUACAAUUCCAUGAAUUUAAAUUCCAUUAAUUGAGAAUUCCAUUAUUUAGAUUUUAUUAUAUAUUGUUUUAAAAUGAUAAUAAUUGAUACUUAGACUAAUCUCAGAUAAAGUUUCAACUAAUCAGCAACAUGGUAAAAAGUUGAGAGAUGUCAGUUGAACCCUCUGGCCCUAUAGGCUGCAUUUGCUUAUUAAGAUAUAGUGUCAGAACCCACCCCGAAUUUCAUCUUAAAACCCGAAGUAAAUCCUGCGGGAACCACCUUCAAAGAGAAUUCGACAUAAUCUCUAGACAACCCUUCCUUAUAAAACACCUGCAAACACUUCUAAAAAUUCAAAUCCAACCUUAUACUCAUGGAGCCUUCGUGCUCCCCAAAGUCGCAACACCUCCUAAUUUAUUCUCUAAUCUAAAAAAAAAACUCCCACAACCAAUAAUUCAUAAGUUCAAAACAACUCUAAUAGGGAAGAAAAAAAACAAAAUAUACAAAUAAACGGAAGCUAUAUCAUGAACUAUGUCUCGACUCCAUAUACGCCCGACCUCAACUAUGCUAACCUGCAAAUUGGGCAUUUAAAACCGAAUAACCUAGAGGAAAACAUUUGAAAACGUUUAGAGAGGAAAACAUUUGAAAACGUUUAGAGUGGACAAAAAUAAAUUUAAAAGAAAUGAACCAAUAAAAAUAUUUAUGCUUUCCCGAUUUAAUUUCUAUUGAAAAGUUAUGUUGCAUGCAACAAACUUAAAAGCUUUUAACUUAAAAACUGACAAAUACAUGACUAGCCCCGCUAGUCUCCAAAACUUUAUAAUAUAGAGCAUCCCAGGCUAUAAUAUAUAAGUAUAUAUUUACACACGUCAUACUCCUUGUAUAAAUUCUUGUGAAAGAUAGAAAUUCAUAGAAGGCUACAACGUUUGCGUCCCACGCUCACGUCACACCAUAACGGGGGGGGUUUAAUCGUUACAUCAUUAUGGCGGAAAAGACGGAUGUAUAUACAUGCAUAUCCCCUAUAUGAAUUCAUAUAUUCAAAUAAAGCUACGACGCUUGCGUCCCACGCUCACGUCACACCAUAAUGGCAGCUCAUUGCUACACCAUUAUAGCGGAAAAGCACGUAUGGCUAGCUAGCAUUUAUAUACAUAAUAUCCUCAUAAUUAUACAUAUAUAUAUAUAUCCAUCGAAAAUCUCAUUUUCGGUAACUCUCCAAAACAAAUAAAAAUUGCCAAUUUAAAGAAUGACCCAUAAGCUCCAAUAACAAGAAACUGCUCACCAACAAACCAUUGCAUGCAUAUUAUUUAAAAUAAAAGUCCACUUACAAUAAUUCGGUUGUGUUAAUUGUCAAGCCGAGGUUUCCCAACUCAAGCCUCCGACAAAAACCUGCGACGGUCCGCUUUCUAUCUAAUUAAUACCUCAAUUCCAUUCUAAGAAUGUAGGAACAAAGAGACAACAUUGUAGAGCCUUACACAAAUUCCAUAAUUAACGAAAAACAUUUAACUCAACUCAAAUAGGGAACUUUUCUCAAAUAAGUGAGUCGAUAAACAAUCUGGGUACUUCUAGUGUAAAUUAGGUUUAACCGGUUUAAUCCCAUUUACUUGGUCUUUAGUCCUUAAACAAUAUGAGUAAAUAUCAUAUUAGCAUCUUGAAUGAACCCGCUUUUGAGUGUCAUUCUAAGACAUGAUUCAAGAAGUAUGAACGGGUAAACCAAAUUGCUAAAGACCCUUUAAGAGAAGAGAUGGUGGCUUUGCAAAUUCGCCAAGAAUUGAUUUGUAAAGAGGUGAACUAGAAAUCUUCCAGUCUAAAAGUAGACAUGAAAAGGUGAUACAUACUAAAGUUUCAGGAAUUUUGGUAUUUAAGAAGUGAUGCAAAACUUGAUCACAAACUGAUUGAAUUGUCAUAAUAUAAUAGGAAAGAAAUGCCAGCUGCAAUGUCGACUUGGAAAAUUAACCAUGAACUCAUUUUAUGAGCAAUUGACAAGAAAUCACUUUUGCAACACUCGCUAGAAAGUCUACUACAAUAAACAAAAAGAACAGAAAUGAAGUAGUUCAAAUAGAGGUUCAAAACUCAGCAGCAAUGUUUUAAAAGGCUAAAGCGUAGUCGAGGCAAUUCGAUGAGAGCCUCAACAAGGCAUAAGGCGUAAGCCAUACGAUAUAUGAAAAAUAUAUAUAUUUAUUAAUGAAAAUAAAUAUAUUCACUAUAAAUUUAUAUCAUUUGAUCUCCUCCCUCUUUUUUAGUUAUUUUGAUAGGCUUAAUCUCUAUCUUUCUUCAUUUUCUAUUCUUUUUCUAGCAACUUUAUCUGUCCUACACUCCUACUUCCAUUAGGAUCCUCCUAGUUCUAGUACUACAAUACACUUAUCCGAAUCCUACCAUAUUUCAACUGUUAUAUCUGAUCACUCUUCAACAUGGAACAACUGUUACACUUGUUCUUGAAGAUCAGCAAAGAUACAUAGAAGAGAUCGUAUCCCAUGGAGUCCACAACUCUCUCUCUCUCUCNNNNNNNNNNNNNNNNNNNNCUCUCUCUCUCUCUCUCUCUCUCUCUCUCUCUCUCUCUCUCUCUCUCUCUCUCUCUCUCUCAUGCUCCUUGAUUUUUUCUUUUUCAGUUUUUCUUAAGGCGUUCGCUUUCAACGCCUUAAGGGGUGUUUUUUGCGCGUUUAACGUCUUGUUCACCGCCUUUGGUGCCUCUACGCCUCAGCUGCAAAGCACACUCGGUAAUCCUUGCGCCUCGCGCUUUUUGAGCCUCAAGGCGAGCCUGAGGCUUGCUUUUUAAAACGCAGAACACAAGGAGACAUACUCAAAAUUCUGGAAUUUUACCAACUGCAGGGAAAACUUUGAAAGAUCACCGAGUUUUCAAUUUACAUAGGAAUAAGCUGAAACUUCCCAGAUCUCUUGUAGACUAACAAAAGAAACAUGUAAAAUUUUCAGAAAAUUUAGACACUUAAAAGUUAGCUAAACGAAUUUUUAAAGUGGCUGUGCAGAACUAAAUAGUUUCUGCAGAAUUUUCAGAAUUUCUAUCCUUUCUUUAUGCAAAGCCAAGAGUUUUGAAUACAAUGUAUUUUGGACAAACCCUGCUUAAAGAACUUCUUGGAAUGUCUAUUUCGACAGAAGAUUAAGCUCAGCUGAAACAGUACUUGAAGAUGAUCCAGAAAUUGGUAACAUACUCAUCCUAGUUAAAAGAUAUACUCAAUUCAUUCUAAACAUUCUACCUAAACCACAUUAUCUCAAACUUCCGCCAACAUAACCGAUUACUCAACAGAAGACUUGCCAACAGACAACACAACUAAAUUCCAAGUUCCCAUACCCAUCAGUACCAAACAGACCACACACUAAACAAAGUCAAAACAUUCAAGUUCUUACCAAGUCUUCUCUUUCCAAGUUGACCACAGCUGCCUUCCUUCCCAACCAACUCUCGAAUCCCUAGCAGACAAAAUAUCGAUUAACAACAACUCCCAUCGAUUUCGUGUCCAAAACAGACGGUAAGAACCUUACCUCAAUCCAAAUCUGUGAAGCUCACCCAACUGCGUUCUCCCUCUUCGGGCAUCCCAAAACGCAGCUUCCUCAACUACACGUGGAAGAGUAGAUAGAUCCUCUCUCCUCGGGCAUCACCGAUUUCCGUCGAAAUUGUCGGACACAGUCGGGUUCUAGACCGACCAAGAAGUAGGUUGUAUGUGGACUAGGUUGAAGAACUUUCCGUCGAAACAGUCGGACACAGUCGGGUUCUAAACCGCUCAAGAACUAGGUUGUAUGUGGACUUGAGUUUAGGGGUUUUGUAGAGGAAAGAGAUUGCAGAUUCAAUUGGUGGUAGUAAGAAGAGGAAGAAGGAAGAACGGGAAGAAGAAUAAAGAGGGAACAAGAGAGGACUAGAAGUUUCAAGGGUUUUCCGGCCUUAAAAAACCCAAAUUCAUGAAAUGUCAAAUUUGCCCUCACUCUAACUCACAAAACUCCGACAAAAUACUAGAACACAGUUUAUUCUCGACUCCUGAUUAAAGCAUAUCACGUAUCCAUGAAUUUAGUUUAUCGUGAUCAACAAUGUUCAUGAAGAGAAAUUUCUCAAAAGGUUAAUGGGUAAAAAGUCAACCCUUAGGUCUUCUAAAGUAUCAACACGAAAUAAAAAGUAAAUUAGGACGUCAUUUACCCUCACUGUGACCAGUAAACUGGUAAAAUAAGAUACGGGAUGUUACAUAGAGGCUGGAUUUCAUUAAUUUCUUCUUAUCCUAUUAGAAAGUGUGUUAGGACGUUUGAAAAACUCAUAAGCAGAUAACUUAUGUCCUGUCAGACACUGAUUUCCAAUCUUGUUGGGAAGGUGUUAUAUAACUUAUACAGCUGGAGACAACGCACUCCAACCACCAAAAAUACACCGCCAAAGUAAGGACUGACAUCUGCAGCUAAGCUCUUUCGCCGCGACCUCGUCUGCAAAGUCAAAUUAUUUUUUGGGGGAGUGGUUUGAGGAAGUGGAAUUAUUUUGGCAUCUUACGUUCUUAAUCCCAAAAGGAUUGUUGCUUGUUAAGUUGCUUGAAGAUUGUUAUUCCAUUCCAUUUCAUUUCUUUGAGCCUCUCACCCUUAGGCCCGGCUCUAGAGCAGGACAGCCGGGCCUAGUUUAAGGACAAAUUAGUGCUUGUUAAGUUUAGUUUAAAUACUUUACAUGCCUGGCUUGGUAGAAUAACCCUUCCAGUUCCAAAAACUACAACAAAACAAGGUAAAGUUUACAUUACGAAUUAGACAAGAGAAUCAUCAAACUCCACCAUCAGAAACGGAAAAUUUAAAUACUCAUCCAUUAAAAUUAACAAGAAAACAAAGGAGAAAUGCAAAGUAAUAAACAAUAGAAACCAAAACUAAACUUUAAGCUAAAAACCAGCAUGUAUAUUUAAUUUCUUCAAAUCUGAUCAGUAUAUCAAAAGCUUAAAACCAUAUCAGCAGUUAAAAGAGGAGAUUUCUGGAGCAUUGCAGAGAGAGAAAGAUGUUAAUAUUGUGAGACUUCCAACUUGCAAUUCUUCCAAGUUCACUUUCUUUUCCUCUUAAUUUUAUUCCUCACUCCUCUAGUCUUUAAUUUUGGUUCAGGGUUGUUAUUCCCAGUUUCUUCCAUUAUUCCUAUUCGAAACAACCAAACGGACCACAAAUCCAAAUGCCAGCUCUAAAGCAAUUCAGAAGAUUAUCCAGUAAGAGAAACUGAAAGAAUGGUACCUGCUUUGAAAUUGGACCUCAGGAGCAUUGUUGGCUUCAAUUUGACCAUUUAGAAAAGAAAAUAACACAAACCCAUUUGAUCUCGACCCAUCAAACUUAGAAACGCGACCAGGCAUCUGAAAUUGAUGGAGGUUUCCUUUGCUGAAAGUGAGUAAAAGUGGAGCUAUCCUCAUGUUUCUUUGAGAUGACAGAAAUGGAAACUCCAGUUUUGACAAAGACAGAGCGCAGGAGCACUAGUACUUGCCAUGUCUCUGAUACAAUCAGAGAGGCUAAUGGAGCGUGAUACAGAAAGAUCACAGUACGGCCAUGAAUGAUGAACUUAAGUCAGUCAAGUGGUUUGUGUAUAGUUGUGAAGAGGCUGUUCAACCAAGCGUUAGAGGUGUGUGCUUUAUUCCAUGUUUAGGCUAGCUCCACGUACACAACUUGCCAAUUGGCCCAUCCUCUAGUUAAAGAGCUAAACGACAUCAUUCUGACCACCACACAAAAAUUCACUGCAACUCGAGUGGGAUAGCAUGUACUUGUAAACACAGUACAAAGUAGAAACUGGAUGCAUCACGUUGGGUGCUAAAUGAACAGGGAAGGAUCAAUACAUUCCAAGACUAAAGACAUUACAAAGUAGAACCAGUACUGAAAAAUUGCCAGAAAGGCGAGCUCAGGCCAAAAUUUGUUCAAAAUUGGCAAUAUAGUAUUUUGCUUGAAGAGAACUCAUACUACUAGGAAUACAAAUGGGAGGCAGAGAAUUCCAACUGAUACUGAAUUCAGUAUAGUGGCCCAAGAUCUUUACUCUAGUGGCAAUGUGGCAUUGAGGGUUUAGGUCCUAGACACUAGCAUAACACCAUCUGUAGUAGGUCUGUUCAUUCCGUUCUUAAUAAAAAAAUAAUAAAAAAAUUAAAAAUAAAAAAAAAUCAUUGAAAGCUUUGGUUCUUGUUGUCUCGUGGCAUGUCAUCAUCUUGAUCAUGGGAUAAAACAAAAUCAGGCACCUCUUCAAUAUCCUUUGCAGGCUGAUGUACAAUGUAAGGAAGAUGAUUACUAAAAGGUAAAAAAAUGAAUCUGGAAUUUAAGGACAAGUGGAAAAGCUUAACAACCUGCCAUCGUUGCAACAGAUGCCAAAAUAUAAAAUCAAUGAUCAUAACCAAGCAAAAACGCUUUCCUGCCCAAGCUCCCCAUGAGAGGUAUCUAUGACGAUUUAAGAAGAAGAAAAAUGAACCAAAAAUCAAGUGAUUAGCAAAUCUUGAAUAUCCCAUAACAUAUUUCUGCAAUCUCAAAAUCAAAAUGAAAGCACACCGUAACAAUCGUUUUAAGAGACUUUGCUUGGAGCAUUUCAAAGCACGAUCAUAAACAAUCUCUGUCCGUUUUGCGACAUCAUGCCAAUUGUAAAGUUCCUUCAUCUAGAUAAAGAUAAAUAAAUGAAAAAAAAAAAAACAAGCACAUUUAAUCACUAUGCGAAUAGUAAUUGACCAUCAUAGUUUAAAGAGUACACUCACUCGAUUGUGCAUUUCUUCUGGGUCGAUGUUGGGAAGUAUUGAUAUUGCCUUUUCUAUUGCUUGAACCAUGUCACUAGGAUCUGGUUUUGCAAGUACAACCAUGUCAUCUGGUAGAACCUAUAUACAGAAAUGGUGUUAGCUAAGCCAAAAUGGAUGCAAUGAUUCCAAUAAUUCUACCCUAAGAGAAGUAACUUACUCAAGAUGAAAACAUGCAACCAAAGAUUUCAAAGUUAUACCUCUGGGACACCUCCUACUCGUGUGCUGACUGUUAAUAACCCACAACUAGCAGCCUCUAAGAUGGCUAUGCAAAAAGCUUCGGUUAAUGAACUGCCAGAAGGGUGAAAGAUUGCAUUAGGGAGAGGAAAAAAAAAAGGGACUUUUUAAAAGGGCAAAGCGGUUUGAAUGUCAUAGGAUAAGUUUAUGUUGAUACAAUUCAUUCAAAUCUAUAUAAAACUGAAGGUGUGAUGCUUGUAGCUGGGUACGAUUGGCUCACAAGAGCAAAAUUAUAAUUGACACAAACAGGGAAUAGAUAAAGUCCAUAAAGUCUGAAUAAUGUGUAAUACCAACUGAAACUAAAAUCAGUGGCCUAUUACAUAAACAAUACUAAUUUACUCAUGUUCCAUUUCUAUUCAUAGUAGUUGCUCUCUUAGAAGUGUUGCUAUUCAGCUCAGCCUCAGAGAAAACUGGCACUCUAUUUCUAACUAUUGCAAUAUCUCUAUAAAUGGUAGGUAAAGCUAAAAUAAACUACCAGAGACCAAAAAUGUAAAGUUUUCACAUAAACCGGUUUUGCGACAAUACAACACCUAUUCUCCAAAUAACUAACAGUUAAAACGAAAGAAGAAAUUGAUGGAUUCCUGUUUAAGAAUAUAUGGCCAGUAAUAAGAACAGAUCGUACUUGAGAGUGUUGAACAGCACCUAGCAUUUCGACUCGAUCUUGUAGAGAAUGUUUUUCCCUCAUCUCUUCCAACCGCANNNNNNNNNNNNNNNNNNNNAGAGAGAGAGAGAGAGAAUGAUCCCCCUUAGCUGUGGUAAAGCCUUGAAGUGCAAAAAAGCUUUUAGGUGUAAUGCUAUUAAGUGAUUAAUCUAGUGAUUAAUGACGAUCUCAAGCCAUCAGAGAAAUAUUGACAUACGCACUGAAUGUCCUUGUUGAUAUGAAAAUUUAUUUCAUAGAAUACAUAUAUGAAAAAUUCAUUAAUUAUAAUCUUAAAGUAACUCACAUUGCGAUAUAAACGGCAUACUUCUGGAAUCACUUCAACAAGCAGAUCUGCACCUUUCCGGUAAACCAACCUACUUACAACAACAAUAACAAUCUCAUGACGACUCAGUCGUGUUGGUGCAGGCUUGAACGUAGCUGUGUCAACAGCAUUAGGUAUUACAAACACCUUUUCUGGUGGCAAACCUGACCGUAGCACAGUGUUAUCCUUGCUUGUAUGAGAAACACAAAUGGCCUGACUCACUUCCGCUAAAGUAAACUGCAGGACCUUGUUCAUGUGUAUGCUUCCCGCAUCAGCGAAACCAUAGAGUGAAUGAUCUGUAAACACAACCUUAUAACCCAUUGUGCGUGCAUGCAUCAAAGCCUCAUGGCAGAGAGUGGAGAAGGCUUGAUGCCCAUGCACCAACGAUAUAUUCUCUCGAAUAAGGAUAGUCCUCACAAUUGGAAGCGUGCCGUAAAAUGUUGGAAACGUAUUCUGCAUAAGAAACGGCCGCCAUGGUACAUAAUACACUUUCAGGCCACCAGUCAUAUAUCUCACUCCAGAACGGUUCUGGUAUGCAUGAGUCAUUACCACCACCUAAGCAAUCAAACACAAUAGUUCAUCUACUCGAAAACUAAGAAACAAAUGAAAUAUGCAACUAAAGAUUCUCUAUUAUGCGUUUAUCAAAAAGACUUCAAAACUGAGAUGUUCCAAUAUUAUUAAAAACACAGCGUCACAACACCACCAUUCAAGACAUAACCAAUGAUAACCAUGUCAUGAUAUCUAUAACCCAAUUAACACAUACACAAAACCUCAGCAUUCAUGUGAUUAGUUGAAAAUCAUUAAAGCAAAUAAACCCUCAAUUCACUUUGAGAUUUUGUUUUCAGUCACAUUAAACAACUAAAGAUACAAGUGUGCACAUAAAGAACCCAUAAAGCUUAAGAGACUGUGGUGUCUGACCUUGUGACCAAGCUUGAGAAGGCAUUGUGAAAGAUAGUAUAUGUGAUUCUCCACACCACCAAAGUUGGGGUAGAAAAAAUCAGAAACCAUCAAAAUUCUAUGCCUUUUCCUCUCCCCCAUUUCUGUAUUUUCAAUUGGGUCUGCGAUUAGUUCAAUAAAAACCCUAUCUUUAUGAGCAAAAGGCGCUAGCUUUUUGGAUUAUGAGCUAUGAAUCAACAAAAACUCGAAAUGGGUCGAAACCGAAUGAGAUAUAUAACAAUCUACACUGCAAAAGAAUCGAACUUUAAGUAUGUAGCAAUCUGAGCUCUUGAAUUUGAUACCAAAAAUGGAAUCUUGAGAAAAGAUAAGUGAUGAUUUACCUGAAAUUUCAGAGAGGAUUGAUCGGAUCGGAGGCUUCGGGUGAUCUGAGAUAUCGCAUAUCAAAUUUGAGAGGCCGAGUAAGAGAAGAGAAAAAAGAAAAGCGCCAGAAGUAGCAGGGGCAGUUAUGGGAUUUAGUUCAUGCAGUCUCUGAGAAAAAAGAGUUUUAUUUCGUGUCAUCUGAAAUAAAUGCAUGAAAAUAAACAAAAGAGUUAUGAAACGAAACAUGGAAUUAAAUUUGCAAUAUCAAAGUAAUUAAUUUUUUUUUCUUGAACUAAAAGAAAAUUUUGUCAUUAGUACUAAAGUAGAUGGUACAAUACGAAUCGAUUCGUUGCCAUGCGUACAGAGGACAAGCAAGAUCAUCUGAUUCGCAUGAGGGUUGCAUCCUCAUUACAAAUUUCGGCUCACAAAGAGUCUAUAAUCUAAUUGCAUAUAGAUCAUAGGCAAUUGUUUCUAACAAACUAAAAGCAAGAAAAUAAAAGCUCCCCCAUGUGAAAAGCAUGGACCAAGAGCAAUUGUUCCGAAAUAAACAAAAACAACUGAAAAUGUAGAAAGGGAAAGAGAGAAAGAAUGACUUCAAAGAACCUCAUUGCCCUUCAAGCUAGGGCUUCGAGGAAGGAGUCGGAUCUUCCUGAUUGGCAUCUCUUUUGGGUUUAUAGAGCCGACAGGACGUCCCCGCUUCUUCUUUUGAUCUUCAGUUGCAACCGAUGCCAUCUUAACUGGUUCAUAGGUGAUGGUGGGAGGCGUCUCUUCCUCUUGCAUCUUCUUCUGACCCAUUCUGUUCCGUGAACCCAUAGGGCGUCUUCUCUUCUUUUUGGGAGGAGCACAGAGACAAUCUGAGAGUUCGAUAACCUUCGAGUUAGUGAAGGCCAAGGAGGCAGCAUAUGCUUGACUAGGGUUUUGAAUGCUCAAAGAGGAUGAUGAUGCUAGCAUAGUGGCUAUGCUAGGGUUUUUGCAAUAGAUGGUGAUGGAGUGAUGUAAAACUUGCUCUUCGAUCCUUUUGAAGAGGCCGUUAGAGAUCCAGGUUUGGGUGCGAAGAGGCCAUGAGAAUGAUUGAAAACAAGGAGAUCUGAUGAAAGAUGGACCUUUUUUGGGAUGGUGGCCGUGCUCUAGGAGAGAGAGAGAGAGAGAGAGAGAGAGAGAGAGAGAGAGAGAGACGGUACGUNNNNNNNNNNNNNNNNNNNNGAGAGAGAGAGAACGGCUUAGGGUUUUAGGGUUUAGGUGCGGCUACUUAGCAUCAAAGUAAUUAAUUUAGCUUUACUUGCCGGUAACAUAAACCCUCUCAGCACUGAAUCAAACUAGCACGGAAUUCCGAGAUAACUUAAAUCAAAAUCCAUCAGAAAAAAACAGAAUCAAAACGAAUAUCCAAUUUUUCUUUCACAGAAAUACACCAAGAUUCAAAAUCGAAAACCGAAAAAUACAACAAAAUCCACAUCAAUCAGAAACCAAAACCACAUUUCCAGUCCGAAAAACCUCUCGUUUCACAUUGAUCUAACCUAAACAUGCAUCAAACAAUCCCUAAUAACACAAACCGAUCCGUUCUUCACUAAUCCAACACUCAAAAUCGAAAAAUCUAACCCUCAUUUCAAGCCGAAAACACUACCAAACCACAAGAUUCAACAAUUCCGUCACAUUUUUUCAAACACCAAAUCCAAGUGGCAUUACAAACCAGUUCCACUCACUCUCUACUCACCUCGAUAAGCGCGCUUUUUCAAUUAAAAGUCAUGCCUUGAAGGAUCUGAGACUCGCGGCGAGAGACGGUGACAACGGCGGAGGCGGAUCGGAGGAUCCAAACCCGAAAAUGGGCGGAUCUUUUUGGAUUCAAAAGCCUUGGGCUUUCCGUUUCCCCUAUAUUUCUGUUUUCUUUAUAAAAAAAAAAAUCUGAAAUAUUUUGUGGGUUAGCAAAAUAUGAAAUCGGUUACUCUCUCUCUCUCNNNNNNNNNNNNNNNNNNNNCUCUCUCUCUCUCUCUCUCUCUCUCUCUCUCUCUCUCUCUCUCUCUCUCUCUCUCUCUUACAUAUAUUUAAUCUACGUAUUUGUGUACGAAGGAGAAUCUACAGUGUUUCAGGCAAGUAUUGUACAGAAGGUUUAGCAACCAAAAACCACCAUUGCUACUACCGACCAUUCCUCACCGUAUAUUGUGGACUUUCCUUUUUUCUUUUUCUUUUUUCUUGUAUUUAUCUUCUUUAUUUUUCUUAUAGAAUUUGAAGAUAUGAUCGAUCAAAGUGGAUGAAUAUGUAAUUGGUCUUUUCUUCUAAGCUCUCGGCCUCGGUUUACUCUACUUUUCGUUUUGACCAACAUGACCAACAUGAAAGUUGUUGUAACCAGUGUUCUAAAAGGCGGCGCAUGGACGCUAAGCAGCAAUGAACCACCUUGUCUUUCACCCAUGUCUUUGUGUUAGGCGAUGAGCAAUUAGGUUGUCACUAGGUGUCGUACAACCCACUAGGCAGGCUAGGCUAGGAGCUAUGGCUUAUUUCUUAGCGGUGACAUAACCUGUCAAUCAUGCAUUAUGUGUGAUUGACAAUUAAAUAAUCACUGUAUUUUAGUGAUUAUAUUUAUAGCGGUGACAUAUCAAAAGAUAAUUCAACUAAUGUGAAACAUCAUUACCAAAAGCACUGUUUUCUCACUAUGUUGCUGAUAGAGAAAAAAUCCGACGACACUUAAUUUCACUCUGCCAAUAGGAGCUAGGCAACAACCAAUUGACAUAGCAAGGAACUCAUCGCCUGCUUAGAGCAGACAGGCCGUAUGAGCGCACACAAAGACACACAACCCGACUACCCCACAAAACUCAUGUAAGGACUUAUGUUGGCGUAUAGCCACAUUUAACUAAUAACAAAAAAAAGAAAAAGAAAUAAUACAUAAAAUUACACAAAAUGCGGGAAGAACAUCAUCUUCAAGAUGCAUAACCUGUCACUCAUGAGCAAACGACGUUAGAGGGAAGACCGGGUUUGCCGGCCUUCGACCCUCCGAUGCCUAAGUCAGCCACAUGAGAAUAUAGAUAAGGUGUAAAUAGGAUGGAAAUAGAGACUUACCCAAAUGAGGGGUGGAAAUAUAUAUUUAUAGAGAUAUAGUGGAUGCACCUUAAAAUACCAUUUUACCCUUUUUGGAGAAUGUAUUAUUAUUAUGCCCUCAAGGAAUGGUGUAGGUUUCUUGGGCUUAGUUAAGACCCAAGCCUGUUUUAUGUGGCAAUAUGUGUCUUCUUAGACGAGUAGGACCGAUGUUCUAUCUCUCACAUAUGAUGUAUUAACAUACGGUAUAAAUCACAUGGUCUGAAAAUUAAAAUUACAUUUAUACGUACUAAAUAUUUCAUUUUUAAAAAGAAUGUACUAAAUAGUUACCCCAGAUAAAAAUAGCAUGAUACACAUAACUACAUGCGCAUUAAUCUGAUUGGUGGGAAAUUUGGGAUGAAUCAUAAAAUGCAUGAUAUUCUAGAAACUUUUAUUGACUAGGCUAUUUACUGAAAAUUUAUUAACUAGCAUAAUUAACAAAUGUGUUUUUUUUUUUAACAAAGGGCUGGUAGGGCUGCCCUCAAGCCUUGAUUAAUGAAACUAUAUAAUACAAAGGGGGAUAUGUAGCCUAAACUCCUGAUUACAAUAUGCAUAUAGAAGAAAUCCUGAAAUAAUAUUAAGAAUAUCUACAAAGUACAUGUAAACUAACAAACACCAACUAACAAAGAGUAAUACUGCUCUAUCUAAUGACAACUCCAUUUACUUUUUCACGAUGGUGACAUAAUGAGAAGAUCACUAGUUAUGUAACACCUACUGUCCUAUAAUACAACGUCCCUACUAUGUUGUCGCCAGAUAAUAAACCCGAUGACACUUAAUUUCAUCCUAUCAAUAUAAGGUUGUUACCAUUUUACCGAGCAAAACCUACCUAGAGCAAAGAAGGCACAUAAGAUGCUGCAUAGACCGGCACAAGAGUCCAAGACCCAUCACACCCUACCUUAUAGUGAUAGGGUAUUAUUGGCGACAUAAAACCAUAUAGAACUAGAAGUAAAAGUGCAAUAAAUAAGCAUCAAUAGAAACAAAAAAAAAAAAAAAAAAGCAUAAAAGUACCAAAUCCAAAACCCAAGCCCACAAACUACCAAGCCCAUGUCCAUAUUGAACAUCGUGAGUCUUGCUACAUCGCCAGCCCAACUGCAAAAUCCUUGCCGUCCCACCUCCGGCAGCAUCAUAUCCCUUGCCUUGCUUUGCGCCGAGAUCCAUCCAUCCCACCCUCAACCAUUGAAACAAUUGUCUCCCUCAUCCACGUAUUGCAUGUCACGUUUUAGACAUCAAAACAAUUCAUUUGGACGAACUUUUCACUGUGCACUUCAAUAUAUGAAUCGUCAUGGACCAACAUUCACGGAGGGAGAAAGUAAUUGUCUCUGCAUAUUUCAGAUUCCAUCAUGUAUUCAUGUAUCAUCAUCUCUUUUAACGUUUUCCAAACUUUAGAUUCCAAAAACGUGGUUCUACUCAUCGCGAGAUCUAAAAAAAUAAGUACACGGACAAUUAUCUUGUGCAAUUUUGGUAUAAGAAAUUGGACACCACAGUACCAUAUAUAUCGUCGUUAGCUCAAUCUGCACCUGGUUGCUGCUAAUUAACUGAUAAUAUUGUGUAGUCAAUUGUAAUGAUAAAUAAGAUACCACGUGCUUGAAAGAGUCGCCAUUUAACUACGUAUACCUCCUCCCUUGGAAGUUAAUUGGAAGUUGGAAGCUGCAGAGGCAGCUAGCUAGCUGGUUUGGAAACCAACCUUCUUCUCGACGACCAUUAGCUCAUCACACCUUCACCUUCCCUUCUCGAUCCCUCAUAUAUGUUUAAUUUGAAAUGUCCCAGCUAGCUAGUACUACUAUUCUUAUACGCAAGCUAUGGCUUUUGCUAACUUUCAACUACCUCCUUAUAAUAUACCCCGUGCCUAUUCCCCAUAUCUCUUUCAGACACCCAUUGUUAAUGAUGGACCUCCUUACAAUAGCUUCCUCUUUAAUUCACAGUGAUAAGAAAUCUCACAUGUUCUGGACUGAGCUAUUCCGCCCAUAGCUGCUGCUGCUGCAACUUCCUUUGAGCAAUGUAAGAGCUCUCUCUCUCUCUCUCUCUCUCUCUCUCUCGCAAGAGAAUAACUACUGCAAAUUUCAUAGCAAACAUAAGUUAUGCAGUGCUAUGUGCAUCUUUUCUUUUCUUCAAGUAAUUACUUUCAAAGUACUUCGUUUUCCCUUUUCUGAAAUCUGAAUCAUUCUAGUGUUAUAUUACCAAAGCUCGGUUUUAUGCAUGCAAGAAAAAUUAGUAGCCAGAGAUAUGUUGCUGAUGAUCGAGAGUUCAUUCAAGCAGCUGCUAAGUUCAUGAUGGAGUCGAUCUUUCCCAGAAAAAAAUAGGCUAGUGUUAUUAACACACUAUUUUGUGUUAUUAACGCACCCCCUCUAUUUUCCUAUUCACACAUUUCAAUUUUAUUUACAAACUUACCACUUGAAUUUGUUUCAUGAUUGGUUUUUAUUAUAUAUAUAAAGUGUUAACAAGACAAAAUGAUGUGUUAAUAACACUAGCCAAAAAAUAUAUAUUGGUUCAAUUAGUCGGCAAAAACAUAGCUCUCGAAAAAAUAUCAUCGAUAACAAAAUAGUUAUAAUAAAAGACUUUUAGGAGUUUUUAUAGUCAACUUGAUUGAAUAUAUAGAAUAUUAUGAUGAUAAGCCUCCGGCCAGUUUGUUAGGCCGAGGACCAUCUUCCUGUGUUUCUCUUCACAGUUAUGUGUCCUAUAUUACUCAGAGUCACAGGCCCUCAAUGUUAUUAUAUAUAUGAAGUGAAGGGAGACUCGCCAAAACAAUAUAUUAGUUGCUUGUAUCAACAAAUUGAGUGCUUCAAUAAGAGUAUUGUCACUAAUAUUGUUUGAUUUACCAUGCAGAAAGGACGUCACAAAUUUCCAGCUGCAUAUUAGUGAACUCCGGCCACUACCAUCAUGCAAAGUCCAGCAGAGAAAAAACCAGGCGUCUACACCUACGUGAGUCAAUGGCCAAUCUACUCCCUGGCCUGGUCAGCUCGCCAUGACAAGCCUUCACGCCUCGCCAUUGGGAGCUUCAUCGAAGACUACAGCAACAAGGUCGAACUCGUCCAGUUCAACUCUUCCACCUCCGACUUCACCACCGACAACCGCCUCAUUUUCGACCACCCUUAUGCCCCCACGAAUCUGAUGUUCUUCCCCUCCGAUGCGGCCACCAAUCCCGACCUCAUAGCCACCUCCGGUGACUACUUACGCAUUUGGGAGAUCCAUGACGACCGAAUCGAGCUCAAGUCGCUGCUCAAUGGCAACAUGAGCAGCGAGUUCAACUCGGCCAUAACAUCAUUUGAUUGGGCCGAAUUUGACACUCGGAGAGUGGCCACAUCGAGUGUCGACACAACGUGUACGAUUUGGGACAUUGAGAGGGAGGCCGUGGACACCCAACUGGUGGCUCAUGACAAAGAAGUUUAUGACAUUUCUUGGGGUGGAUUCAACGUGUUCGCUUCUGCUUCUGGGGAUGGCACUGUUAGGGUGUUCGACUUGAGAGACAAAGAGAGGUAAGCCUAUAAUUGCUAUUCUAAUUUUGAAAUGCAUAUCACUUUCUAUGCGGACAUUUCUCACAAUUUAAUUUUCCAACAGGUCGACAAUAGUAUAUGAAAACCCUGCUCAAGAUGGGUCAUUGUUGAGGCUAGAAUGGAACAAACAUGACCCAAGGUUCAUAGCCACGGUUGGAGUGGACAGCAACAAGGUGGUGAUAUUGGACAUUAGGUUUCCCACCGCACCAAUGAUGGAGCUUAAAAAGCAUGGAGCCAGUGUGAAUGCCGUUUCUUGGUCGCCACGCAUGGGGCACCAGCUAUGUUCUGUGAGUGAUGAUUCAAGGGCUAUGAUAUGGGAGGUGGUGAGAACCGGGUUUGGAUCCGAUGGGGCGGACGUCGAGCCGGAGAUGUGGUACGGAGCGACGGCUCAGAUCAAUCAAGUGCGGUGGUCACCUGUGGAGUUGGAUUGGAUUGCCAUUGCUUUCAUGAACAAGUUGCAGCUAUUGAAGGUUUAGUAAUUGUAAUAUCGUAUGGUAAAGGUUUGACCAGCAUUUCCAAGUUACAAGAUAACCGUAGCUAGCUGGAGUUGUGGAAUUAACAAUUUGUAAAAUUAUAAUGCAAAGUUGACGUACGUUAUAACCGAUAGCCGAUUACAGAUUGACAGUCCAAAACAAUUGUGUUUCUUAAUUUUUCUAUCAAAAUGAAACAAAUGAAAAAUAGCUAGAGGGGCUACAAUUUAAUUAUGAUUAAAUGGAAACAAUUAAUUGAUAACAAUAAGCUGAUUUAAGAUGUCAAGUUCAGGUGGGUUGAAAGCAAAAGACACAUAAUUUUAAAAAUGAUCGAGUUAGUUCUUAAUGGCCAAGUGAUACGUUAACAUUAUGAACUAGUACCAACUAUUAAUUACUAGAUGGAGAAAUGUAACUACACAACUACAACUUAUAUGGAGCAUGUGGCAUUGUGGCACAACAUAUAUGGUGAAGAAAGGUGAAUGUGAUGGUUGAUUAUGAACUAGAAGAUUGUAGAAAAUAACGAGUCGUAAAUCAAUUUAGUUAUGUGAGUAAGAUGAGGAAGAGUAUAUAUGUGGUGAUCGGCUAGCCAGUGGUGGUCCACUGCUGCUCGUAGUGGUUUGCUAGAGUCGUCUGCCGGAGCUCUGUCAUGUAUUUUUGAGCGUCUAUUGCUUGGUUUCUCAAUUCUUCAUUUUUUGGGUUAUCCCUUGACCUUGAGCUUACAAACUGAGAAAUAGGAAGCCAAGCUCAGUGCAGCUAAACUCAGCGUUGAAAAAGACCAAAACACCACUGGAUUAUCUUAUAUUCGUUUUUAAUCCAAGAAACAAAUAAACUAGUUUCCUCGCUGCUUCGCUUUGCUUCUCCACUCUGUAACUAGCAACAAAGAGACCUCUCUUCUCUCCGAUGGCGAUGACCAUAGAAGGUACGCUUCUACAUACUAUGUCUCUUCUUAUUCGAUUUUAACUCGAUCAUUCUUAUUCGUAAUUGACAUUUUCGUCCUGGGUUGGACGACGGCAAUAUGCCCAACUCGUUUCACAAAUAGUCAGAAGUUGAAUUAAGCUAUGCUGGUUCAUCGAUUUCCGUUGCAAAACUCCGAUUACUGUAUGAAUUGUGCUGAAAGUUCUAGAAUUGGGGCCAAUUUGAGCGAAAAAGGAUGGGUCUUUGGUUUAGGGUUUCAUCUAACGCUUUUGUUGUAUUUGGGUAGUCUUGCUCUUUUGGUUCUUGCAAAGAUUUGAUCAAAGAAAGUUGCUCGAAAGGGGCCUUUUUUUUUUCAUAAAAUUUUCAACUUUAUGGCUAAUCAUAUCAAGUAGCCAUAUUUGCGAUUUACUUACAAAGUGGUCGACUUAAUUGGGGAGUUCUAGUUUAGAGUCUGAUUAUGUAAGUAAGACAAUUUGGAAGGGUUCUGUUGUUGAUGUGAAUAAUUCAUAUGAACAGAUAUAAGGGAAGAUGUGUAGUUGUAUUAAUAUUCAAUCUUGAGUCCUAUUUUGAUGACAUUGGUUACUAACUAUUUUCUGUUGUGGUGCAUUGUUGCUCCGCGAAUUGUUGACGUUUCGUGCUCUUUGCAGUGUAAGUGAGAAUCUAGUUUUGUGAAUUUGGCUUGGUUAUUCAGCUCUUCUGAAGCAUACUUCUGAAGUCACUUUCUUAAUGUGCAGGCUCGCAGGACUUGCUUUUAUGUUUUCAGCGAGCAUCUUGCUACAGGUCCUGGUAAGUAAACUGAUUAGGUUAUGCAACACAACCCAUAUGCCAUUAACCGUUUGCUUUAUAUUAGAUGUAUAGAAGAUGCUAUAUAGAUAUAAGUGUGGUGCUCUAAGACGAGGCACUUGUGUAUUUUCUUGCAAGCCUUCAAAUGUAGUUAUUGCUGAUUAUUUUUACAUAUAUUAAAUCUGAUUUGGAAGUAUACCAGAGGUAUCUAUAGUCUUGUGCAUUUCACUGCAUAAAUCACCUUCUUUUAUGAAGUCUAUGACUCCUAUUCCGGUUUCGGUUUAUUUUGGAUUACCUCUGCAAAACAUUAUUAUAAUUAUUUUCUAAAUGUGACUGAUGAAAAGUAGUCUAAGGAGAAGUAGAAAACUUAGGAGUAUUUGAAAGAUUUUCUUCAGGUUUGUUUUGUAUCUGCCAGUGCCUAAAUUUCUCAGCAAGUGAAUUCACUUAGGCAUUCUAACAACCUCAUCAUUCAUCCUUAACUUGAUCCAUUUUGUUGCUUUUCAAGAAAUUUUUGGUCAACUAAACAAAAACAAAGUAAAAGAUGCUCUCUAAACAUGUCAUAUGAUUAUUCCUUGCAUUAGUACUUGAAGCUCUCAUCAGGCUUUUGAACAGUAGAGUUCUUGGAGUAAUGAAACUAAUAUGAUUAAUCUUUCACUUAGACUAAAAUAAAGAUUUAAGUUGUGACUUUCAAAAAGUUAAGCUUCAAUCUGAAUGAGUAUUAUGAUGUGACCUGUUGGAAUUGAGAUAAUAUUUCUGAGGAAUAACCAGAUUUGCAUUCAAGACAUCUAAAUGCAAAAGGAUUAGAUGUCUUAUAGUGCGACCUUGUAGUUCAUUUAUCUCCCCCUUCCCAAAAAUCUUAUAGUGCGACCUAUCACCUUAAAUACAAGCCGUUGGAGAGUCAGUAUUUUUGUACAGUGGGUGUUAGCAUAUGCUGUCUUUCAGUCGUCUUUUGCUAUUGCUGUUGGCUGCUUGCCUCUGCACAGUUUCCUCGUGUUUAUGUUGAAGUGGUUGACCCAUAGAGAAUUAUAUUUUACCGUACCAGAAAUGCGUAGUAUCUAGUGCUAGAAGCAAGCAAGACCCAAAAAAUGCUAGAGACUUUGUACCAUCAAUUUGAGUGUGGUUGAAUCUGUUCUACAGCCCAAGGAUGUGGAGCAGAAGUUUUGUUAUUUCUGUUGCCUGAAGUGAUUGUUCAAACUGUAUUUUAUGAAUCUUAGAUGUCUUCAGAGGGGUGGCCUUUCUAACACAUCAGGAUCAGAUCUAUUACUUUCCAUUUCCUAAUAAUAAAACCACCGCUGCAGUCCAAUUAGUACAACUGGCAAAAGCUAAGGCUGAGAGCAUGGGCACAGAUGUAUUUCAUAUCAGAAACUAUUUUUUUUUUCAGUAGUAGACUAAUAGAGGAUAACACAAUUUCUGCUCCAACUUACCCUUUUCUGAAACUCAAGAGAACCGACAAAACCACACCCCAGCCACCAUUCUUAAUGUCUAGAUGAAUUCAGAAGGAGGGAAGAAAUUCUUUUCUGAAAAAGGUCAUGGAAAGCUCAGCAUCAUGGAAGAUUUUUCUCGAUCUGUAAUAUUGGAUCAACCAGUAGUCACAACUAAUAAUCAUUAUAUGUACUGUGUCUAUUCCUCUUUCUGAUGCAUGACUAUGUGUUCUGUUGAGCUCCCAAAACGUAUUAGGCAUGGGACUUCCAGGCGCCAUCGCAUAAUUCGUUUGUUCUUGGGAUUCUAGGUCUAAUGAUGCUAAAGCUAGUGAGGAAAUAUGGAUGGGCAGGGUAGCUUAAUUACCGAUAGAAAAGCUAGAACUCUACGCGCAUUCAUAUCUCUCUCAUGUGAAAGGGGAUUUGUAUUCUUUGACAUAUUGAAUGCUUAAAGCUUCAUCAGCAAUUGAAUGUUUGAGGGAAAUAGCUCAUUUUUUUCAUAAGAACUUAGCUGCCGGUUGAAUUUCAAAUAAGUUAUGUGCUUACUCAUGUACGGCGUUUUUCAUUUUUUAAUGUGCCGCAGGCUUGUGCAUUAUACAACAAUUGGUGGCCUAUGUUAUCUGGUGAGAGUGGAUGAUUUAAGUUCUUUAAAUUUGGGAUCUACAGUUGCAUUGAGAAUUUUUUUUAAAAAAGUGACUAUCUGAUUGUUGUUGUAGCUCUCAUGUAUGUCCUGGUACCUAUGCCCUGUUUAUUCUUUGGUGGUGGUUCAACUCAGGUUUUAUUUACGAGGGAGAGUGAUGGGUGAGUGUUUCUAAGCAUUAUACGUUCAAAAUUUCUCUCCCCCUCCUACACACACACACAAACACACACGUAUAUACAUAUUUAUAUACACUUGUUAUAUUGUUGUAACUUUGCCCUUCUAUAUAGAUCGAUUAGAUCCCAUAGUUUCUUAUAUACUUUUACAUCAAUCACUCAUAAUUCAAUAGACGUUUUGAUCAACCUUACAACUAGCUCAUAUAAAAGGUAUUUGCACUCUGUCACGGUUGAGUGAUAUUUUAAUAAGCGUUGUGAGGUGAUUGGCUGUAUUGUUUUGAGUUCCCAAAUGCAGGCAAUUGUAGCUUUUUCUAAAGUCAUAGUUUGCGACUUAAAGCAUCAUACUUGCUUUUUUCCAUUGAAGUAUAUAUUGGGCCAGUUAGUACAUUUUGAGUUUAAAAUUGAUUUGUGAAUGACCAACUGUAGAGCAGACAAGACUUUAGACCAAAAGUGCUGUUAUAAUUUGAAUUAUCAUAAGAGAUUAUGAACAUAUGGAAGGAGAGAUUGUAGCAUUUAUGGGGGUUUUAAGUUGUUCUUUCUUCUUAAACUACUGAGGCAAAUAUGGUUCAUGAAAUUUCAUAUAGGAGAUUUAUGUUUAUGGGAUUAUUAGUUGUAUUCUGUUAAACUGCUGAGUGCAAUAGUUCGUUCAGACAUUUAGUGAGCAACAAGCCCUUGAGUAAACCCUGCAUAUUGGCUCAUGGAACAUGCAUAACUCAUGAGCUCUGAUCACAGAAAAUAUCUAUUAGCCGUUAUCCUGUAAUAACCUCCUUGCUGUUUUCCCCCCUCUUUUUGGGUGAUAGUAACAAAAAUCACUUAUAUUGCAGGUGGAUAAAUGCUGCUAAGUUUCUGACUGGGGCAUCAACUGUGGGGAGCCUAGCCAUUCCUAUAAUUCUUAGACAUGCUCAUAUGAUUGAGACAUCUGCUAUGUGGAUCGAAUUCGUAUCAUUCUUCAUAUUUGUGUGCACCGUCAUGUGUUUCCACCGUGCCAGCCUCGAAGACGAGUGGUGAUGACUUAAAAACAUCCAAGUUUUUACACUGGCCGGCAAUAAUUGCGGCCAAAAGUGAAGUAGUUUAACAACUGCAAGAAGUGUGAUAUGCAUGAAACGGGAAAGCAAUAGAACAAACCCUUUUGUAAAUCUGUUUAUGUAUAUGUUCAAGGGCAUUAUGACCAAUUUCUUCGUUCACUAGGUUUGGGAACAGCACUAGAUUCUUGUUAAUUUACUGUGGGAUUCAUUGUGUAAUAUAGUAUGGCUUUGGGAGUAACUAUUCAUAUAUAUAACAUAAGUUACCGAGCACUACGUAUAUCUACUUGGGUAUUAAUACCGGUAAAGACUAAAUGGAAGGGAUAACAAAACUCACGCUGCAGAAAAUUAAAGGCCAUCCUAUCUUGGGGCCAUAUAGGGUGGUGUCACUGGUGCGGACUUUGUUGUGUGUGAAAAAACAACGCCUUGUAAUCAAGAGUUUAGGGUAGGUUUAUGAAUAUAGGAGCUGUUUUAAUGAGUACCACUAAUUGAGUACGGAUUUCUUUGGUUCACCUUUUUUUUAUAGGUAUAUAUACAUCUUGAGUUCUUGACUGUCUAGUAUUUAGUUAUAUAUGAAUAUUACCCUUUGUUGGAAAUUGGUGACCAGUGUUUCCGUAUGAAAUACAACACCUUUCAUUGUCCAGCGAUCAUGAUUCAUGAAUUUAGGGUUUACUACCUGGGAACUGGGUCAUACCCUGGUGGAGGAAAAUACAACAGCUUGCUCUUGUUUGGUUGAAUAAUCGUGAUUUAAGAUUGAGGGUUUCGGGACUACGACUGUGUUGUAGGUCUCGGAAUGGACGAGAGGUUCAAAGUCCUGGCUUAUGCUGUCAAUGUGAACUGAACUGGAUUUCAAGUCAAAAGAAAGAUGAUGGUUUGGAGUUUGGACUAAAUCUGAUGAUUCUUGUUCUUGCUAGUUAAUUGCUAAACCCUGAAUGAAGUCAUGGACCAGAAUCUGGAUUCUGGAAUUAAUAAAUCAGAGUGGACAGAUUUGCAUCAUGUGUAUAAUAACGUGACUAUAUAUAAAAAUUGACUGGAAGCUAGCUGAUGCAGUUCAUAGUUGAAAAUCGCAUGGCAUAGAGAAACUCAGAAACCUUGGAACCCUAAACCAGAAAAAGUCAUUAAUUGUUUAAAGGAUUUUUCUGAUUUUCCAGGAUACACGUACGUUCUUCUUGUGCGGCACCUUCCUCACUGCGGCAUAUAUAUGCAACAUCAAUUGCAAUUCCAAGCAGUUAUAUUUACAAAGGCUCACCAAUUGACCAAUGAAAUCAUGCACGUUCAACCUCCAUUUGAUGUAAAUGAUCCAAUCAGUAGAUAUACAUCUUAAAUUACAUUGUUUUGUUUUUACCAAUAUUUUUGUAAAUGUAAUGUGAUGACUAAUGAGCAUAAUUUCUUUGAUGAACACUUUUUCAUUUACUGAUCAGAUGAACACUACCGUUGAUCAAUAUUAGAAAUACAAUGUUGGAUUUUUAACUAGUUACAAUGACCUUUUUAUUUUUUAUUUUUUAUCACGCAUUACAACAUCGUCAAACUUACAACCUCUCACUUUCUAAGGGAAGACUAUGCAAUGACGUCCUUGAACCAUUUCUUAGUUAUAUAAUUUCCAAGUUAAGUGAUAUUAUUGCACUAGUAGGGAUCAUUUUUUUGCAGACGUAUUUUUCUGUUUAGUAGAACUUUCAAUCGAGGAGGAUUAUUAUUUAGGUUGAUGUUAUUAACACACUAUUUUUUGUUAUUAACACACCCAAUCUAUUUUCCUAUUUGCACAUUUUAAUUUUAUUUACAAACUUGCUACUUGAAUUUGUUUGAUGAUUGACUCUCAUUAUAGAUAGGGUGUGAUAAUAACAAAAAAGGAUGUGUUAAUGUUUUAAAACAAGGCCGCUCAGCCCGCCUAGGCGCUCCAACCAUCCGCCCUAGUAACGUAUAGUGAGUUUUUGAACUCUGCCUAUAUGUAGUGUUCUAAAAUAAGACCGCUCAGCCCACCUAGAUAGAUGACUUCUAGGCGCUCCAAGCUUGCCCUCCGCCAUGAGAGCGCCUAGCGAGUUUUCAAACCUUGCUUAUUAGCUUUUUAGAUACAUCCAUAUUUCCAUAAUAUGACAUAAGCUUUGACAAUAUAAGUUAAAUCAAAGGUGAAAUAACUUUGAAACCACGGCUUUUAUCUCUCACAUAUAUACGGUGAUCAAAUGGAUAUCUUAAUUUUCCAAAUGAACAGUACAAGAGGGCGCAAGUGGAUUUCUGUUUAGUUUUGCUAAUAAUUAUUGAUGAUAUGGAAACCCCAAAGAUGGAACUUGCAAUAAUUAUAAUAGUCAUAAACUUUCUCCAAAAUUACGAGUACAAACGAAUUAAUUUGGUUAAACCCUAGAAAUUCACAUGCAUUAAUUAUUGAUACUCUAAAUUAGUAAACAACGAUUCCCCUUGUUCUUUAAUUUCUUCAAUCUUGUUCGAACGCCCUUAAUUAAACCAAUCCAGUUGGUCCAGUUCCCACAGAGGUUCACCGUUGUCAACCGCCACUGGCAAGCUUCCAGUGCUCUGUCCAGAUUGAGAGGGUUGGCCAUGGUCUCCUGAGGAUGAACUCCCAGACGAGCUUAAAGUACUUAUUCUCUCCAUUUCCACAUUAUAUGAAUUAGGAGCAGCUGGGAUGAUGUUCUGAGCAUGCGAAAUCGCUGUUGGAUAAGUAGAACCCUCGUUAUGAUGAUCUGUACCUAACUGCGGCAGAGCUGGUAAUUGAACUGUAACCGUAGGUCUGCGCAUGAUAUCACCGGUGCCUGAAGGUCGUCUGUCAAAUGCCCUCAAGCAUUUCGAUUUCUUGUAGACUCGGCAUAAACUGAAUUCUUGCCUUAACUGUAUGCACAUAUGUACCAAAAUAUAUUUCAAAACCAGAAUCGUGAUUAAGUUUGAUUUUCUUGCAUGAUACUAAUUAAAUUAAACUUGCUACAAUUAAACUAUAUCAUCGUUGAUUAAAUCAUUGUAAUUUUACACACGACAGAUGAUGAUAUGACUAUACAAAUAUAUGGUUGAAAAUUUGUAGUAAUUUGUUGGUGAAGUGAAUGAUAAUUUUGAAAUAACCAAAUAGAUAGGCUUUUCUCCAUUUGCUGAUUAUUUGCUGAAAUGAUUUUGACAGAAAUAGCAGAAUGUACGACUAUAAUUCCCAGGUAAUUAUGUGUUUAGAAGAUUAACUAGCUAGUAAGCUAGGUUUUGAUAUUGCAUAUUCAUGAAAUAGAUCAAGUUAGUACGUACCGCAGGAGCAGGAGUGGCGUUUGAUGAUGAAGAAGGUGCAUGAAGUUGAUCAUCUUCUUCAAUGGCUUUGUACUCAUUCAUCUUCCACUCGGUUUUGCUUCCUUUGGGAGCUCUACCAGUGUAGAAGACCAUAGUUCUUUUGAGGCCGAUGGCACCAUGAUUAGUACUGCUGGAACUGGAAGAGUAAACAUAACUUGGAGAACCAGUUGCCUUCCAAUAUCCAGUAGUAGUGAGUCGUUUCGGUCUCCCUCCCCGUGCUUCACUCUCUUGUCUCGGGAUGAAGAAGAACCACUGCUCUUGAUCUCCAUGGCAUAUUUCUCCUGAAUUUCCUAAUUAAUUACAAUCAAAGAAAGAAUCCAUUAAGUACUAAAACCAGUUUAAUUAUCGAGUCAAUUUCAAACCCAUGGGUUCUUGAAAUUGCUUGCAAUAGAUCAUAUAAUGUAAAGAGUGAAGACUUAACUGAAUGGAUACUUGAACCCUACUUUACUUUCCGUUUUAUGAAGUUAAGCGUUCAAUCUAAAAGAUAUAUAGAGAUAUAAGCAUGAGAGAGAGAGAGAGAGAGAGAGAGAGAGAGAGAGAGAGAGAGACGUGUAAUUACGUGGGAGAUCCCAAGGAUUAAACUCGUAUAUGUCAAGCACAGGUAUGAUCCGGUCCAUAACCCGGUUCACGUCCUUCCUCGUUCCAUCUAGCUUGUGGGGCAAAUAAAAUGAAACCAGUUCCUCCUCUGUUGGGUAGAAUCUAAACCCAGGUGGAAAAUCUUCCAUCACUUCCCUCUCUAGCUAGCCUUCUCCUUCCCUCCCUUUCAAUAGCUAUGAAAAUAGUACUAAGCUAGAUUACUUAUUUACUAGGAAGCUCUACUCUAUUCAACUCGAUCGGAGCUAGCUAGUUCAUCAAGACAGACCUGAUGAAAUUAGCUGGUAUAUAUGUUACUGUAUGUUGUGCUUCUCACUUACGUUCUCCAUAUAUUGUGUAUAUAUAUAGAUCGAGGGUUUUGGAAAAGGAAGUGAAGUUAGGCAAAUGAGCAGAUAACGAUGUUGAGAUAGUAUCCGAGUGAAAGGAGAAAAAAGGAUCCAUGGUCGACAGGUUUAAGUUGCUUUGAACUUUCCAAACACGUACGCGGUUGUGUAGGAAGAAAAGAAAAUGCAAAGCUCCAUUGACCUUUAUGAACCAGUCAAUAUAUUGGCAUUUUCUGUGUGCCACACCACGGCUAUUACUCUGCUCUCUCUUGCAUGCUAUUAUAUUUGAUAAGUUACUUUAACCAACCCAACAACAGCUUCCUCCAGUUGAGGUAUUGGUGAAAACAAAGUCGAUGUAAAUAAACAUCAUGUAACUAAGGAGAUGAGGAAAAUCAAAGGAAAGUUGGAGAAAAAGGACCGAAGGAGGAGAGAUCAUUACCGUCGCCAAGUGAUGAUCGAUGGUUUUGAACUUUUGAUACAUGCCGACUAUUUUAUGUGCAGCAUUCAUAUUGAUCGAUAAUCAAGCAACGCCAACAACAUGAAGCACAGAUAAUUUAUGUGCUUGCAAACAAGUCUCCUGCCCUCUCUAAACUUCAAAGAACGGAUCGAUAUGCCAUAGUCUCUUUAUAAUCGAUCAGACAAUAUUGACAAAUCGUUGAUGAUAAUAUGUGGGCACAAAAAACUGUUCAAGACAUCACUCUCAGCAAGCAAAACUUUUGCUUGGACAGAUGUAAUUAAGCAACCACAGCAGAAACGGACACUGGCCUGCUGCAAAUGGUGCCUUGAAACUAGCUUAAUUUGGAUGCGUCGAUCGUUUUUACCUAAGAGUUUUGUGUGAUAGCAGAUGAAGGUACUUUUGUGGCUGCUUUUGCAUACGGUUGCACUCACAGCGUCUCCGAAGCAAGCGAAGUUAUUUGCUCUUAGAGAUAUUGGACUGGACUUUCGUAACUCAAUGGCUCAAUGCAAGUAGAUCAUGUGAUUGUUGAGAGUGACCGCACAGAUUCAGCAAUCAGUGAAGCUAGAUACAUGUAGAGAUCAUGGACUGCUUGCAAAUAUAUAUAGAGGCGUAAUUGACGAUCGACAUCAAAACUGCCAUAUAUGCAGAAGUUAACACAGGUACAAAUAUACCUAUGCUUGCACCUCGUUCGUGUAACAAAAUAUAUAUAUAUAUAUAUAUAUAUAUAUAUAUAUACNNNNNNNNNNNNNNNNNNNNNNNNNNNNNNNNNNNNNNNNNNNNNNNNNNNNNNNNNNNNNNNNNNNNNNNNNNNNNNNNNNNNNNNNNNNNNNNNNNNNNNNNNNNNNNNNNNNNNNNNNNNNNNNNNNNNNNNNNNNNNNNNNNNNNNNNNNNNNNNNNNNNNNNNNNNNNNNNNNNNNNNNNNNNNNNNNNNNNNNNNNNNNNNNNNNNNNNNNNNNNNNNNNNNNNNNNNNNNNNNNNNNNNNNNNNNNNNNNNNNNNNNNNNNNNNNNNNNNNNNNNNNNNNNNNNNNNNNNNNNNNNNNNNNNNNNNNNNNNNNNNNNNNNNNNNNNNNNNNNNNNNNNNNNNNNNNNNNNNNNNNNNNNNNNNNNNNNNNNNNNNNNNNNNNNNNNNNNNNNNNNNNNNNNNNNNNNNNNNNNNNNNNNNNNNNNNNNNNNNNNNNNNNNNNNNNNNNNNNNNNNNNNNNNNNNNNNNNNNNNNNNNNNNNNNNNNNNNNNNNNNNNNNNNNNNNNNNNNNNNNNNNNNNNNNNNNNNNNNNNNNNNNNNNNNNNNNNNNNNNNNNNNNNNNNNNNNNNNNNNNNNNNNNNNNNNNNNNNNNNNNNNNNNNNNNNNNNNNNNNNNNNNNNNNNNNNNNNNNNNNNNNNNNNNNNNNNNNNNNNNNNNNNNNNNNNNNNNNNNNNNNNNNNNNNNNNNNNNNNNNNNNNNNNNNNNNNNNNNNNNNNNNNNNNNNNNNNNNNNNNNNNNNNNNNNNNNNNNNNNNNNNNNNNNNNNNNNNNNNNNNNNNNNNNNNNNNNNNNNNNNNNNNNNNNNNNNNNNNNNNNNNNNNNNNNNNNNNNNNNNNNNNNNNNNNAGUAUUGAAAAGGACUAUUAUAUAUAUAUAUAUAUAUAUAUUAAGCCGGAUAUGAAGUGGACGUUCGCACUGUCCUUAAAGUGCGGACGUCCCUCCAUUUGCCAUCGUCCGGCGCCGACAACGGCGCACCUCUACCCGAGCGGACUCCAACAACGUCCCUGAUCACAUACUUUCCCUCCCCGGUGAGUCCGCCGAAUUCUAGUUUUCCAGCGAGAUCACCCAAAACUUCAAACAAGAUCAAUCUCAUUGGAAAACUGGAAUUCGGUGGACUCGCCGGGGAGAGAAAGCGAUCGAGGACGCUGCUGAAGUCCGCUCGGGUAGAGACGCGCUGUCGUCGGCGCUAGACGAUAACGAACGGAGGGACGUUCGCACUUUAAGAAGCACAGUGCGGACUUCCGCUUAUAUAUAUAUGGCUUCUAAUUAAGUAUAGGUUUCGAAGUUACUCAUGGCAGUAUUUGGCUUGAUCAAACUCCAUACACUGGGUUAAAUAUAAUAUAUAUUGUCAUAAUAUCUAUCAUAAACCUAAAUGAAUAAAAUAAAUCUAACUACUAGUUUUACAUGCAUGGGUUUUCAAAUACUGAAAGGUGAACAAAUUAGCUAUCAAUUAGCCAUUUUCGAAUAUCAAAUCAAACAAGGAUUUUUUACUUCAAUCGAAGUCUCAUCCCUAUGAUAUAUAGCUAGCUAUGGCCACGAUUCCCACGAAGUUGCAUGGUCUUGGUCUCUCGGAUUAUUCAACCGUUUAGUACUGCUCCAAUGGAGGCUAUUGCGAAAGGUCUUUCAAUCACGCUAGCUGCAGUGAAGCUCGAUCGUUAAUUUGGAGGCUAGGUUUUGCUUACUUUGCAGUUCAUUGAGCUGGUUAACUUGUAUAUAUUGAAACUGAUUCCUCGUCAGUUCAAUAAUCUAACUUUUUUUUUUGUAGAUGUUUCCAUGAAGUUUUCGAAAAGGCUAGGCAUUUGACAAACAUAUCUAUAUAUUUCCCUCUGCACCUGGACCUGGACAUUGUGUUCCCCCAUUUUGGACAACAAACAAUAACAGUAUACAUAUAUAAAUUAUUUUUACAAAUUUUACAGCAUACCUAGGCCUCUAUAUACAUAUAAUCGACCAAUUCGGUCUACUUCGAUCAAUAUAUGGUCAAUUUUAUAUCACUAUAUAUAUAGGCCCUUCUAAUGAGAGAUUUUUUUUUUAAUUCAUUUAUAGAGAUAGGGUAUAUGACGAAUUUUCCGAUUACAAAAUCACAUCUUUACCCUUCAAUUUGUAGGUCUAUAUGAGUAGAUCACUUCCACAAGUUUUUAGAAGAAUUGGUGAUCGUUAAGUUGUCCAACACAUAUCAGGGGUUCUGAUCGAGUACUUGUUUUUUCCAAAAUAGGUUGAUCGAGACAACUUACGCGGUCCUAAGCUAAAUUCCAAUUGACUGAUUUAUACAUUCCGAAAUCAAUGUAUAGAAGCGCUUUUAUUAAUUAAUUGAAAUUUGAAUCGUGUACGUAGGAAAAGGUUGGGAAACAAAGAGUGAAUAUUGUCAACUGAUUAGUCAUCAUCAAGUCAACAUAAAACUUGAAACUAAUUACUAAUUCACGCGCAAUUCAAGCUGAUCGGUCUGAAGGAAUCGAAUCUCAAAUUAAUCCUAGCUUUUUAAUUUCCUGGAGACUACGCUGAAAUGUCUUCGCAGAAGAAAUGGACAGCAGUGAAAAUCAACUAUAUUUCUCUCCUCUUUCAUUGCAAUUUUAUUG
rnacentral:lncRNA from 1 species